ACGGGACGUGUAGUUCUGGUAGCCAAGUCUACUUUGGGAAGAAACAAAAAUGUAAGAUAAGUGAUACGCAAGAACACUGAAACAAAACAACAUAAAAAUGUUAUAUAAUAUAAAUAUAUGUAUAUCUCGAGAGAGUUAUAAUGGUCUAAUUUGGAUAUUUCUUUUAUCAUUUUACUCCCAGCCAAUUGGCACACAGAGACUGUGGGCCCCUCUGGGUCACAGUGGCUAGCUGUUAUUCAUAUUUAGACAUAAUGCAUACUUGCUCACCCCAUGGGGUAAAAAAAACAAAUAUUUAGUUGAUAUGCAACCCCGCAAAAAAAAAGAAUUUGAUUUUAUUGUUGCAUAUUUUUACAGUUACUGUUAGCCCUCACCUGUGCUGGACAUUGGCCCAAGCAGAGGUUUCUCUUUAAGAAGCCGUGAGAAAAAUUGUAAAUGCACACAACUGACCAAUCAUGUAUUUGAGCUGCAGUGCGGCUCAUUGAAAAGUGUAUUAAAACAGGCAAGGAGCACAGCGUGCUUCUUCAUGAUCAAGGCCACUAUUAGAGUUCUAGGUGCCCACUACCAAACAAUUGCCUGUGCCACCAAACACACUCCCAGACUGCGAUACACUUUCACAGAUAUACCCCAACACACUCCCAGACUGCAAUACACUCUCACAGAGAUACCCCAACACACUCCCAGACUGCAAUACACUCUCAAAGAGAUACCCCAACACACUCCCAGACAGCGAUACACUCUCACAGAGAUACCCCAACACACUCCUAGACUGCAAUACACUCUCACAGAGAUACCCCAACACACUCCUAGACUGCAAUACACUCUCACAGAGAUACCCCAACACACUCCCAGACUGCGAUACACUCUCACAGAGAUACCCCAAGACACUCCCAGACUGCGAUACACUCUCACAGAGAUACCCCAAGACACUCCCAGACUGCAAUACACUCUCACAGAGAUACCCCAACACACUCCCAGACUGUGAUACACUCUUACAGAGAUACCCCAACACUUUCCCAGACUGCAAUACACUCUCACAGAGAUACCCCAACACACUCCCAGACUGCGAUACACUCUCACAGAGAUACCCCAACACACUCUCACAGAGAUACCCCAACACACUCCCAGACUGCGAUACACUCUCACAGAGAUACCCCAACACACUCCUAGACUGCGAUACACUCUCACAGAGAUACCCCAACACACUCCCAGACUGGGAUACACUCUCACAGAGAUACCCCAACAUGCUCCCAGAGAGAAUUUCACGGUGCAUACACAUGUUACAUUGGGUGUUACAAUAGAAAUACACCCAGGAAAAUGGCACGAUGGCAAAACUGGCACUUGAGAGAGUUGAGUGCCAAUGUAAAACAUCUUUGUGGUGAAGGCUUUCCUCCUGCCCAAAGACUGUGGACCUGGAUCUAGAGAUCCAUUUUGUCUGUUGAACUAAGUAGUUUAUUCACAUUGCUAUAUAACAACUGGUGCAGGUCUCCAAGCCAUGUCCUUCCUGAAAGGAUUAUAGUCACCACAAUUACCCUUCCAGUCCGUGUCUUGCAGCUCCUUUUUCCCGGGGCCCAUGAGUUACCAUAAGCCGGCGGGGAGACUACAGAGGCACGACACACCUGACUGGGAGCAACCCUCAAACUCUGUGGAACUCUCGGUCGGAUCAUGGAGUUGCCUCUGCCAGUUAAAUGUUGUAGAGAGUGCUCUCGAUCCCAGAGUCACCUACUAAAACGCUGUUUAGAGGGGAGAUCAGGGAGAAAGAGAGGCAUCAAAGGACACCUUGGACUUGAGGGAGCUGCUUGCCCUGGACCCACUAGAGGCCUGAGAGGAUGAUCGGGACUUAUGCACAAAUGGCCUGGAACUCUAAAGCGGAUCAGAGAACAGCCGCGACCCAGUAAAACUGCACCAAUCUGAAAUCAACAGCCAUACAUAACCUUUUCAUCUCAAAGUCACUCACACUACUAGCACUCACAGAGACCUCGCUUUCCCCCUCUGAUAGUGCUACUCCUUCGUCUUUAUGUUUUGGUGGGCUACAAUUCUCCUACACUCCAAGGCCCAACUGUAAAGGAGGUGGUGUAGGCAUCCUUCUCUUCCCUCAAUGUACCUUUCAACCAAUCUCCCCUGCCCUAUCCUUUACUUCCUUUGAAGUUCACACUGUCUGCCUAUUUAAACCCACUCCUUUAAGAAUUGCUAUCAUCUACAGCUCCCGUAGUCAUCCUAGGCUAUUUAUUGAGCACGUUUCUCCCUGGCUAUCUUACUUCCUCUCCUCUAGCACUCCUUCCCUUAUACUUCGGGAUUUUAAUAUUCCAAUUAACAACCCCAAUUGCACUGAUGCCUCUCGUCUGCUCUCUGUAACCUUCUCCUUUGGCCUCACGCAAUGGUCUAAUUCAGCAACCCAUACAGCGGGAAACACUCUUGACCUCGCCUUCACCAACCUCUGUACCGCCUCUAAUCUCUCCAAUAUUCCUUUUCUUCUAUCUGACCACCAUCUGCUGACUUUUGACAUCAGCACACCCAGGAUCCAACUGACACCACCCUCGGCACAUCAAUAUCACAAAAAACUCCAAUGUCUUGACCUAGAGAACCUCUCCACUAAGCUCCAAAUCUCUCCAAUAUUCCUUUUCUUCUAUCUGACCACCAUCUGCUGACUUUUGACAUCAGCACACCCAGGAUCCAACUGACACCACCCUCGGCACAUCAAUAUCACAAAAAACUCCAAUGUCUUGACCUAGAGAACUUCUCCACUAACCUCCAAACUCUCCUUGUAUUUAUUUCAAACCUCACCUGCCCUAGCUCUGCAAUCUCCUUCUACAAUUCCAGCCUCUCCUCUCAACUAGACAUUAUGGGACCUCCUACACAGCAAACGCCCCCAACUACAACCUUGGUACACCAAGCUGACUCGAUACCUUCAAAAAUGCUCCUGAACUGCUGAAUGCUGCUGGAGACAGUCUCACUCCGCAUCUGACUUUCUCCACUAUAGAUUUAUGCUGCGCUCUUACAGCUUGGCUCUUUCCUCUGCAAAAAUAAAUUACUUCAAUACCCUAAUAACCACACUCUCCUGCCAACCCAAACAACUUUUUCACACUUUUAACUCUCUUCUUUGCCCUGUUGCUCCUCCUCCUUCUCCGACCGCCACAAACUUUGCAGCUUACUUCACUAACAAGAUCUCUGCAAUAAGUGAAGAGAUGUCUCAUCUCUCUCCUUCCCCUUACAAUAUUUCCCUCAACCUCACUCCCUCUGCUGUUCUAUGUUCAUUCACACCCGCUACAGCAGAAGAGUUCUAAAUCUCUCCCUCUCCUUUGGUAUAUUUCCAUUACCCUUACAAAUAUGCAAUUGUAAUCCCUAUUCUAAAAAAGCCCAACCUUUACCCUCACUCCCCGUCCAACUACCGCCCUAUUCUCCUAUUCUGCUAUUGCCUUUUGCGUUUAAGAUCCUUGAAAGACUUGUGUAUGUGAGAUUGACAGAUUUCCUCGAGUCCAAUUCUCUGCAGGCUGGUUCCCACGCUCAGCACUCUGUGGAAACAGCUCUGACCAAAGUAUCAAACGAUCUAUUCGCUAUUCGCUGCAAAAUCUCAUGGUCACUACUCUAUCCUAAAUCUCCUUGACCUUUCUGCUGCUUUUGAUACUGUUGAUACUGUUGGAUCAUAAACAGCUUCUUCUCAUCUUCCGUAAUCUUGGUCUACGAGAUAUUGCUCUCUCCUGGUGCUCCUCCUCCCCCACCCAGGGCUCUUUUAGUGUCUCUUUUUCUGGCUCUGUCUCUUCCUCCCAACCACUCUCUGUUGGUGUCCCCAAGGUUCAGUCCUUGGUCCCCUACUGUUCUCGAUCUAUACUGCCCCCCUUGGUAAACUCAUCAGCUCCUUUGGUUUCCAAUAUCAUUUCUAUGCAGAUGACAUGCAAAUCUAUUUGUCCUCCCAUGAUCUCUCCCAGCCCCUCUUGACUAGUGUCUCUGACUGCCUCUCUGCUAUUUCUAACUGAAUGGCUGCCCACUUCCUUAAGCUCAACUUGUCCAAAACAGAACUUCUGGUCUUUCCUCCCUUGAGUGUUGUUACCCCCGUUUCUGUCUCCCUCCACGUUAAUGGUGCUACCGUCAGUACCACCACACAGGCUUGAUGCCUAGGUGUUCUCUUUGACUCCGACCUCACUUUCACCCCUCAUGUCCAGUCCAUCGCCAAAUCCAGCUGCUUCCAUCUUAAAAACAUUACCAACCCACAGGCAGGGAGGGAGGCAGGAGAAGACCCGGGGAGCUUUUGUCAGCAGCUCCGCCGGGUUCCUCUCGCGUGGUCGGAUCGGCAGUGCUCAGAUCUCGCGAGAGUGAACUCUAGCCCCACAGGGGGCUAGAGUUCACUCUCCACUGGACCACCAGGGAAGGCAGGAGCACAGUCCCCCCUCCCUACAUAAGGUAAGAAGGGAGGGGGGAUAUUAACUAAACGGCCCCCACACUCCCACACAUUACACACAAACAUACAGCACACACACACAUACAUCAACCUUACACACACACACUAACAGCACCCUCACACUAACAACACCCUUACACACACAGCACCCUCAUACAUAAACACACACUAACAGCACCCUUACACACAGCACCCUAACACACACAGCACCCUUACACACAGCACACACUAACAACACCCUUACACACACACACUAACAGCACCCUCACACUAGCAACACCCUUACACACACAGCACCCUCACACAUACACAUACACACAGCACACACUAACAGCACCCUUACACACAGCACCCUCACACACACAGCACACACUAACAUCACCCUUACACACACAGCACCCUUACACAUAACAGCACCCACACACAGCACACACUAACAGCACCCUUACACACACAAGCACACACUAACACAUACACACAGCACACACCCUAACAGCAACACCCUUACACACAGCACCACUACACACAGCACACACUAACAGCAGCACAGCACCCUCACACACACAGCUAACAGCACCCUUACACACACAGCAUCCUUACACAUACACACACAGCACACACUAACAGCACCCUUACACACAAAGCACACACUAACAGCACUCUUACACACACAGCACCUUCACACACUCACAGCGCCCGCACACACACACAGCGCCUGCACACACACAGCGCCUUCACACAGCACCUACACACACACAAAGCGCCUACACACAGCACCCUCACACACACAGCAGUGUGUGUGUGUGUAUGUAUGUGUAUAUAUGUGUGUAUAUAUAUAUAUAUAUAUAUAUAUAUAUACGCAGUGUGUGUGUUUCUGCUUUAGGGUGCACACCCUUAUACAAUAGGCUGGGCACGCCUACGAUAGCAUGUGAGGAUAUGUUAUGUCAUUGUUUAAUUAUUGUACAAAAUGUAAAACAGAGAAGGUUUUUGUUAUGUUCAGGGGAUAAUUGUAUUAGAACCUUUGUGUCUGGGAGUUGAGUUAUUGCAUAAAAGGUACAACAGAAACUAAUUUGUUUUUUGUAUAAUAGCUAUUGUGCAAUGAUUCUUGGUGUCAGGCAGAUAAUUCAGUUAAGGAGUCCUAAAGGAACACUAUAGGGUUUUGAACACAAACGUGUAUUCCUGACCAGGGCCGUCUUUAAGGAGGGGCAAAAGGGGCAGCUGCCCCGGGCCCAGUUACUCCUGGGGGCCCUAAGGCAGCUGCCCCAUGGGCCCCCCUGCAGCACCUGAGGUAAUCAGGGGCCACAGCCCUUUAAUACUGCUCUGGACCGGGCCCUGGUAAUAUGGAGGUUGGCUGAAUACAAACACACAGCUAGCCCCUCACACACUGCCCUGUGAUCCCUUUUCUUCCCCGUGGCAUGCUGGGAGGAAGUGAGGUCAGAUCACUUCCUCCUCAGUGCCGCUGGGGAGGAGGCACACACCACACGGAGGAGGAUGCAAGCAUUGUUGGGGAGAGGGACUGAGAAAGCUGAUGGCAGACUCCCAUCAGCCUGGGCCAACAAGCUCCCACUGGACCCCAGGGAAGCCACCUUUCUGUACCCAAAAGGUAAGGAGACAGGAGGGUGGCUAAAUAUGCUUUGUUUUUUUGUUUUGCUUAUUUCUGAUAUCACUUUUAUUCAAGUGUUGGUGUUUGUAAUGUAACACACAGGGAAUAAGUACAUGUUAAAAAUCCUAGAAGAACCCGACAGUUCCCUAUUAAAUAUACAUUUUCAAAGUAUUUAUUUUAACAUAUUAUUGCAUCAAGUGUUAUCAAAGGCUGUAUACCAUUUCCAAAUGUCACUUUUGCCAAAUUCUGGACCAGGGUAUGUAAGAACAGAGUUGAGACAUUAUUAUGGCCAAGGUUGCUGGGAGUUGCUGUCCAAGAGCUGCUAGAAGGCAGAGAUUAAAAUAUGUAAAUGUACACAUAUAUGUGUAUGUGUAUCUGGCUGUGUUUAUGUCCUUGUGUGUAUCUGGCUGUGUUUGUGUCAGUGUGUGUAUCUGGCUGUGUUUGUGUCAGUGUUUGUAUCUGGCUGUGUUUGUCUGUGUGUCAGUGUUUCUGUGUGUAUGUAUACAUGUGUAUGUGUACUUGUGUGUCAGUGUGUAUGUGUACCUGUGUGUGUGUGUGUGUGUUUGUGUGUGUGUGUGUGUAUGUAUGUGUCAGUGUGUGUAAGUGUGCAUCUGAGUGUGUGGUAAUGCAUACAUCCCAGAAUUUUAAUGCCAACACAAAUACACUCCAUCUCUAGCACUGUACACAUAUACACCCCUGCAUUUAUACCUUUAUGUAUGUGUGUAUCUGAGUGUGUGUGUACAUACCUGUGUCAGUGUGUGUGUGUACCUCUGUGUGUGGAUGUGCCAGUGUGUGUGUGUAUCAAAGUGCUUGUAUCAGUGUGUCAAAGGGUGUGUAUCUGAGUGUGUGUGUGUAUGUGCCAGUAUGUGUCAAGGUGUGAGCAUGUGUCAGUGUGCCUAUGUGUGUAUCUGCGUGUUAAUGUGUAUGUGUAUAUGUGUUAUAGAAAUCACACAACAUGCAAACAGAUCCCUGCAAACACAAACAUUACAUACAAACACACCAGUUUGCUGAAACACCAAUACUACACACAAAUGUACCCAACACUACAUCCAAACAACCCCCUGCAUGCAAAUACAAACAUUACAUACAAACACAUUCCUGUAUUAAAAUGCUAAAAUUAUAUACAAACACCAACUCUACACACAAAAGUACACCUGCAUUUAAAAGCCAACACUACAGACAAUCACACAUUACUGCAUUCAAACGCAAACACUACACACAAGUACACCACUGCAUUCCAAUGGUAACAGUACAUACAAAUACACCCCUACAUGCACACAUACACUCUAUACAAUAACAUGCUGACAUUCAAUUGCACAAACACUGCUCAAAAAUACAACCCUGCAAGGAUGGUAGAUCCCCACCUGGCAAAGCAUCGCAGGAGUUGUAUGACAGAUGGGGAUCUAUCUUUUCUUUACUCUUGUGCUACAGGGCAGGCCUGAAUUAUUAUUUUUUUUGCACCAAGGCACUCUCUACAUUAGUUUCGCCUCUAGGUUGGGGUGGAGGGAGUGAUUGCAUGCCCAGGGGGCCCAAGCAGAUGCUUGCCCAGGGUCCAAUCAAUAUUAAAGACGGCCCUGUUCCUGACCCUAUAAUGUUAAAACCACAAUCUAGCCCCCCUGCCCGCCCUCUACCUCCCCCCACUUGUCCUCCCUAAAUAUAGUAAAAUAUUACAUUUUCUCUAGUCUGCUGCUGCUGGCUCUUCCCCUAUUCUGCCUACUUGGCUGACAUAAUCAAAAGUGUUGAUGAAAGCGAAUUGAUUGUCUAAGAUUGCCAAGGAGGCAGAUCGUGGCAGAGCCAGCUCAAGCCAAACACAGCCCUGGCCAAUCAGUAUCUCCUCACAGAGAUGCAUUGACUCAAUGCAACUCUAUGAGGAAAGUUCAGUGUCUGCAUGCAGAGGGUGGAGACUCUGAAUGUCAGUGCACACUGUGCAGCACCGACCCAGGAAGCACCUCUAGUAGCCAUCUGAGGAGUGGCCAAUGGAGGUAUCCCUAGGCUGUAAUGUAAACAUUGCAUUUUCUCUGAAAAGACAGUGUUUACUGCAAAAAGCCUGAAGGGCAGAACAAAUACAAUAAGCAGUGGUUGAUCUGGUGACUAUAGUGUCCCUUUAAUUUGUGGGCUUCUUGUGGGUUCCUUAUUCCAAAAUGCAUGACUUUGCAUUUACCUUUAUUGAAUCUCAUCUACCAAUUGCUAGCCCAGUUUCAAUGCCCACUUCAUUUAUAAACAAAUUAAAGAGCAGUACACCCAGGAAUGAACCCUAAAGGGACUCCACUUACCACUUUUAUCCAGUUCAAAAAUGUUCUUUUUAAAACUACUCUCUGUAUUCUAUCUUUAGGCCAGUGUUCUAUCCAAGAACACAAAUCUUCCAUGUAAGCCAAUUUCAGUAUUAAUAUUAACCUUUUGUGUGGAACUAAAAUAUGAAAUGCUUUUGCAAAAUCCAAAUAGAUCCAAUCCACUUGAAACCCCAAAUCUAUAUUUCUACUGACUUUUUCAUAGAACACAAAUAAGUUAGUUUGAUUUUCUUUUUUAGGCAUAUCCAGCCUCCCAAACUUUAGCAAAACUAGUGUGGGUCCUCUCCCUGGGGUCCAGUGGGGAUCUUCUCCCUUAGGUACGGGGGAGGGAUCUUCUCCCUGGGGUCCAGUUGGGUCUUCUCCAUGUGGUCUAGGGCGAGGGGGUCUUCUCCUUGGGGUCUGGUGGGGGAAUCUUCUACAUGGGAUCCGGGGGGAUCUUCUACAUGGGAUCUCCGUGAGAUCCAGGGUUGGAAGAGAUCUUCUCCUUGCGGUCCAGGGGGGGAUCUCCUCUCUGGUGCCCAGAGGGAAAUGGAUCUUCCAAUUUCUCUCUGCUCUCUUGCAAGCCCUCUGUAGUGAUGCUGGGGCUUCAGUGACAGCAUAUUCGGGCUCCUGGCAUCACUACAGAUGGCGCACAAGACAAGGGAGCAGAGAGGAACUGGAAAUACGUCAGUGCUCCCUCGCCACCUGCCUCCUCUCUUUCUCCCAUGGGGUCCAUGGGGUUCAUGGAGAAGAGAUCUUCUUUUGUAUCAGCCGAUUAAAAGAAUGGGUUUCAAAUAUUGAUCUUGCUGGUCUUUAGUCUGUUUUCAACCUAGAUUACAAUGCAGCUGUGUACUGAGUGAUACCACCGCUCUCCACACUGAAUCCCUCUAUAUACUGAGUGACACACACCGCCCUGCACACUGAAUCCCUCUAUAUACCGAGUGACACAUAUCGCUCUGCACAUUGAAUCCCUCUAUAUACUGAGUGACACACAGUUCUGCAUAGUGAAUCCCGCUAUAUAUGAUGUGUGAUGCAACACUCAAGUUGGAGACAAUUUAACAUUACUUAUUAGAACAUAAGUGCCACUUGUGAACAUGUUUUUGUACAUUUGUCAUAUUUAACAGUUUAUUUGGCACAUCUGGUUACCGUUGCUUUGUUUAUGAUGGUGUAUCUUUCUGUCCCUUGUAGUACUAAUAUAGGUGCUUUAUUGAUAGGGGUAGUAUUGUGGCGGGGUAAGGUCUUUACUGUGGCACGAGAAAGGCAGUAUUGGGAGUAGAUGUGAUUUAUUGUGGGAUAUAGGGACUGCAUUGUAGGAGUAUAGUGGGGUUACUGUGGGGUAGAGGGCUUUACUGUGGGGGAUAGGAGCAAUAGUGUGGAUUUAAAAAAUAACAAAACAAAACUAAAGUUUAAAUUAUUUCCCCCUUCCUCUUGCUUACCUUGGUGAGGGAGUGGAAAAGUUGCUCCCUGGUGGUACAGUGGGCUGAUUAUUUGAUUAUUUGGUCUGCACCCCGGCAGGUGCAGUAUGUGUGAAGGAUUCCCCAAGGCUGACGGUCAGUAAGGACUCAGAGCGUUACUGUGGUAACCCGCAACAAUGCACUGAUCCACUACAGGGAGCUAUUAACACGGUAGCUUUAUGAAUAUGCCCCACCUCCGAAAACACUAUCCAUCACACAGAAAAAGAAAGUUGUUUUGGCUCUGUAUAUUCUAAUCUGUAUCUCAUCUGUGCUUUCAUUAACAGUUGGAUUAAUCCACACAUGUGCCUUAGGCCCAUUGCAUUUAGUAGGAGCCUAUCUCUUCUCUAGGCCAGUUGCACACACUCUCUUUGCCUCAUGGUGGAUUCUCUGAACUGGCAGUCCCCACCUAUAUCCGUUCUUCCACUAGUGGAUUUAUCUGUGUAUCAGUAACCCCAAAUUUAUGUUUUGAAAUUGGCCUUUUCUAACACUAAGCUCCAAAUCAAUAAUCCAGACCUGACUUUGCCAAUCCCACAUAGUGAUCCCCUUUUCUGAUCCUAGGAGGUGAUGCGCACCAAUAAAUCUAUACCCCUUUCAACUUUGCAGGCGACUGAAAACUGUUAAAGUAGCUCUGUCACGUCUAAGUAACUUCUGUUCAGUACUCUUCCACAUCAUGUGUAUGAGUAUGGCUUUGAUGUAUCUCCUGCUAAAUUAAGUGCUUGAUGGAUGGACACCACAAGAAAGAUGGUGGUGCAUGUGAAAGAGAUGUACUCCCAGCCUGCAUGCCACAUUUUUACAAACACCUCCAAAAGUGACAAAGCCACAGUACAUUAUUUGUGAAAGUCACAUAUAGCAUACUUCAGUUAUUGAAGCUCUCCUUCCUUUCAACUCUGUGUGCAUUCAGGCAGAAAAAACAAUAGACGAUUAUUUUCUCCAUAUUUGGAAAGUCUAAAUUAUCUCCGAAUUACCGCAGGCUGUGAAGUUAGAACACGAACUGGGAUGAUGGAAUGGAAUGGAAUGCAAUGCAGUGGUAUUAUGUUAUUAAUAAUAAGGUUGAUGUUUCCAAGUUUAACCUAACCUCUGGGAAGCUAAUGAAUUCUAAUAAGUGGUAAUAGAUUCAGCUUGUCUAGCAAAAAUAUUUCCCUCGUCUUCCAAGCUGUGCUUGUGAAAAUUGUUAUUUAAAGACAUUAGCCCAGUCCCCAAACAUUCUUCAAGUUUCUGAAGGGCUUUAGGGGUUGAAUGUUUGAUGAUUUCUUUUGAAAUCUGUACUUUUCUAAAAUUAGCCAGAGAGUUCAAUUUCAUAAAUCCUCUAAGACAGCCUGGAGGGUUCCCUGUCUCACUCAAAGCAGAAGUGAGUGCUUCUCAUAGCACUUACUUACAAUGCUUCUGUAUUAGAAGCGUUGUCGGCGCUAUGAGAAGCAUCCCAUUGGCAUACCUUCCAAAAUUUCAAAUGGACACAUUCAUUUUUGGGGAGUGAGUGGGUGAGUGAGGGUUUGGCCAGGGACAGGAAUGAUCUCAGAAAUUUUUAGGAAUUAUAUAUAUAAUUGUAUAUAUUAUAUAUAGGGUCCACAGUUACUGUCUGUUGCUGAAAAUAGGAGCUAUACAAGUUUUUAAAGGUAAAAUAUUCCACUGUUUGUGCGCUUUCACCUUUUUUUUUCUGUUCACUAUAUCUUUCAUUUGGUGUAAUAAGAGACUAUACACCGAGGUGUUUUUAGGCUGCACCAGUUGUAGUAUUUUGUGUAUAGCGCCCUUUUCCUUUCUAUUGUGUAUUCCUUCACUUUUCCUAUUAGCUUCUAUAAUAGAUGCUACUAUGUAUAUGAACUUAAUUUAUUCAACACUUCAUUAUGGAUGGAACACAAUGUAUAUUCCACCAGAGACUCUUAUGUCUAUCAGUGAAGCGCAAGGUGCGUUCCAAAUAUGCCGGCCGUUCACUGAGAAUGUAAGCAACAGGAAGAACGUUGCAAGCUGUGUGGAACGCACGAUGCGUUCCAAAUGCUGAACAUAAACGUGACCAGAAAUUACGUGGUCGGGGGAAUAGGUGGAACGCAGGAUGUGUUGCACCAGAAGAAAAAAGACCGCGAACUUCGGAUCCAUUGAUAUAUAAAGGACUGAAAGGCACAAUAGCACCAUCCACACCAACUGAAGAAGCCACAACAGGCGAAACGCGUUUUGGUAUUAUACUGGACUUUAUUGGACAUUGCUUUAGAAACCACCAUUGAUUUUAUUUAUUGUUUUAUUGAAUAAAGAAAUUUUACUUUUACCUUAUUUGGAUUAUGUGCAAAUGACUCCUGGGAGAACACUGGAUCAGGUAUCCUGAGCAUCUACAAAGGUAUUUGGAUCACCCAUAUAGAUCCUAAGGCUAUCCACACAAGAGCCAGGUUGAGUAUAUGGCUCCACUCUUGUGAGUGCAUUCUGUUACUAAGCAAUAUAUACAUUAAUGUUUUAAGGAUAUCUGCACUAUUAUACACCCUGUUCCAAAUUAUUAUGCAAAUUAUAUUUUUCUCAUUUACCUAAAUAAUUGAUGUAAAUAACAGUCAGCAUAAUUCUAAUGUUAUCAACUAUUAAGAGUACAAUUCAAAUUUUAUUGGACAAACUUCCUAAUGAUAACAGUAUUUUUUUUUAAACAUAAAAAAACUUACAAUGCACUGUUCCAAAUUAUUACGCACAGUAAGUUUCAAAACACUUUAUAGGUUGUAAAGAACUGAAAAUUGUAAUUUGUUGUGUUUGCAGCAUAUUUACUGAAAUCAAAAGCUAUUUCAAUCAAACUAGGCCCUUAACAUCUGCAUCUUCUGUCCACCUCUGAUGCUCGCCUUCAAGAUUUCUCGAGGGCUGCACUGUUCCUAGGAAACUCGCUUCCCUCCUCCGUUAGAUGCUCACCCAGUCUCCACUCCUUCAAAAAAUCAUUAAAAACCCACUUCUUCAUAAAAGCGUAUCAAUUGAGCUGUUAAUAGCUCCCGACUGAUUCCUCCUCUGCAACUGUCAUUAAUACUAUCCUUACCUUUUUGUGUCAUUUUACCCCACUCCCUCUAGCAUGUAAGCUCAUUGAGCAGGGCCUUCAACCCCUCUGUUCCUGUGUAUCCAAUUUGUCUGGUUACAACUACAUGUCUGUUCGUCCACCCAUUGUAAAGUGCUGCAGAAUUUGAUGGCGCUAUAUAAAUAACGUAAUAAUAAUAAUAUUAAUAAACUUAUAACAACAUUUUAACUUUUUAAACAUUUUAACAGGUCACGUUACAUUUUAACAUAUGACCACUUAUUUGAUAACAGCUUCACUAGUCUUGCAUCCAUUGAACUUGUGAGUUUUUGGACAGUUUCUGCUUGAAUUUGUUUGCAAAAUGUCAAAGUAGCCUCCCAGAGCUGCUGUUUGGAUGUAAACUGCCUCUCACCCUCAUAGAUCUUUUGCUUGAGGAUGCUCCAAAGGUUUUCAAUAGGAUUGAGGUCAGGGGAGGAUGGAGGCCACACCAUGACUUUCUCUCCUUUUAUCCACAUAGCAGCCAUUGAUGCAGAGAUGAUUUUAUUACGGAAAGCAUAGUUCUUCCUUCUGUACCAGGGAAGAAAGUGGUCAGUCAGAAACUCCACAUACUUUGCAGAGGUCAUCUUUACACCUUCGGGGACCCUAAAGGGGCAGACCAGCUCUCUUCCCAUGAUUCCGACCCAAAACAUGACUCCACCACCGCCUUGCUAACAUUGCAAGCUUGUUGGAACAGGGUGGCUGUCCACCAACCAUCCACUAUUCCAUCCAUCUGGACCAUCCAGGGUUGCACGGCACUCAUCAGUGAACAGGACUGUUUAAAAAUUAGUCUUCAUGUAUUUUUCUGCCCAAUGCAGCCGUUUCUGCUUGUGAGCAUUGGUUAGUGGUGGCCGAAUAGAAGGUUUAUGCACAGUUGCAAGACUCUGGAGGACUCUUCACCUUGAUGUCUGUGGGACUCCAGAGGCACCAGCAGCUUCAAAUAUCUGUUUGCUGCUAAUUAAUGGUAUUUUAGCAGCUGUUCUCUUGAUCCGAUGCAUGGAUCUGGCAGAAAUCUUCCUCAAUGUGCCUUUAUCUGCACUAACCCGUCUGUGCUCUGAAUUAGUCACAAUAGUGCGAUGAUCACCCACGCUUAAGUUUUCGUGAAAUAUCUAAUGUUUUCAUACCUCAUCCAAGGCAUUGAACUAUUUCUUUUCGGCAGCAGAGAGAUCCUUUUUCUUCCCCAUAUUGCAUGAAAACGGUGCUCUGCUUAAUUAUGUGGAACACCCUCCUUUAGUAGUUUUUCCUUAAAUUGGGCUCACCUGGCAAUCUAAUUAUCACAGGUGUCCGAGAUUGUUUUCAGUGAUCAAAGAGCCCUGAGACACAAUGCCAUCCAAUGCCAGUUAAACUGAAAAGCAAAAUAUUUAAUCUUUGUGACAGUUAAAUAGAAUUUGCAUAAUAAUUUGGAACAGGGUGUAUACCUCUCUGUCUUUACAGCAAUAUCAAGAAGAGAGGAAAGUAUACCAUUGUUCUACCUAUUUUUGUUUGUAUGAUAUGUGAUUUUAGAUGUUGGGAUAGGGGAUACCACACAGGUGUUAGAGCUUCUUUUCACUACUAAAUAUACCAUUUGUGUUUGAUUUAUACAACGGUAUUUACUCACGAGUACUUAAGGAGCUAAGUGGGGAAAUAAGUGAACCUCUGUAUUUAAUUUUUCAAGAUUCUUUUGUUUCAGGUAUUGUACCAGAGGAUUGGAGGAAGGCAGAUGUUGUUCCUAUAUUUAAAAAGGGUUCAAAAUCCUUGCCUGGAAAUUAUAGACCUGUGAGCUUAACUUCUGUAAUUGGGAAUAUAUUUGAAGUGCUAUUAAGGGAUAAUAUUCAGGAAUUCAUUGGGAAGAACUUUGUUAUUAGCAAUAAUCAGCAUGUUUUUAUGAAACAUAGGUCAUGUCAAACUAACCUAAUUGCAUUCUAUGAAGAAGUAAGUAAAAGUAUAGGUCAGGGUGUUGCAAUGGAGGUAAUCUACUUGGAUUUUGCCAAGGCAUUUGAUACGGUUCCUCACAAUAGGUUAGUCUUCAAACGAAAAGAAAUUGGCAUAGAUGAAUAUUCUUGUUCUUGGGUAGAACAUUGGCUUAAGGAUAGAGUACAACGAGUUGUCAUUAAUGGUAAAUUUUCAGGCUGUACAAAAGUGGUAAGUGGUGUUCCUCAGGGUUCUGUUUUGGGACCGCUUCUAUUUAACAUAUUUAUAAAUAAUUUUGAAAUAGACAUUGAAAGCCAUGUAUCAGUGUUUGCAGAUGACACAAAACUUUGUAAAGUAAUAAAAUGUGAGCAGGAUAUUGCUUUGCUGCAGAGGGAUUUGGAUAGAUUGGGGGACUGGGCACUAAAAUGGCAGAUGAAAUUUAACAUAGAGAAAUGCAAAGUUAUGCACUUCGGGGCUAAGAAUGCACAAGCAAUUUACACCCUAAAUGGUAGUGAACUAGGGAUAACCACACUUGAGAAGGAUUUGGGAAUUGUUAUAGACAACAAAUUAGGCAGCAAUAUGCAAUGUCAAUCUGCAGUUGCUAAGGCCAGAAAGGUUUUGUCAUGUAUAAAUAGGGGCAUAAAUUCUCAGGAUGAAAAUAUAAUUUUGCCUCUUUAUAAAUCGCUGGUAAGACCACACCUUGAAUAUGCUGUGCAAUUUUGGGCACCUGUUCUAAAGAAAAUAUCAUGGCACUAGAAAAAGUGCAGAGACGAGCUACAAAAUUGAUAAAAGGAAUGGAGCAUUUUAGUUAUGAAGAAAGGUUAAAAAAAUUAAAUCUGUUUAGUUUGGAAAAACGGCGCCUGAGAUGGGAUAUGAUAACAUUAUACAAAUAUAUUCGGGGCCAGUACAAACCUUUAUCUGGAAAUCUAUCCAUAAACAUGGCUAUACAUAGGACACAAGGUCACACAUUUAAGCUGGAAGAAAGGAGAUUUCAUCAAAGAAAAGGUUGUUUUUUUUUACAGUAAGAGCAAUAAGGAUAUGGAAUUCUCUGCCUGAAGAGGUGGUUUUGUCAGAGUCAUUACAGAUGUUUAAACUGCAAUUGGAUAAAUACUUGCAAAAACAAAACAUACAAGGAUAUAAUUUCUAAUUAGUGGGGUAAUAGCUGCUUGAUCCAAGGAGACAUCUGACUGCUAUUUUGGGGUCAAGAAGGAUUUUUUUCCUAGUUUGUUGCAAAAUUGGAAGCGCUUCAGACUAGGUUUUUUUGCCUUCAUUUGGAUCAACAGCAAAAACAUAUGUAAGGAAGGCUGAACUUAAUGGACGCAAGUCUCUUUUCAGCUAUGUAACUGCAAUGUAAUUUGUAACAAGAUUAAAGUAUCUUUUUUCCACAGGCUGAUUUCUAAACAUAUUUGGUGUAGUUUAAAGAUACGUGGCAAGUGGUGUUCCUCACCAUAUGUGGAACCAGGAUAACAUUGAACCUUUUAUAAUAAAUAUUGGAGAAACCAUCAGGCUGCAGGGCUUUGCCAUGAGACAAUAAUUGCGUAUACGGUGACAUUUCUUGUACUUAAUAUGUUCUUUUUUAGGACUGGGCCGAGGGUGGGGAAAACCCAUUUAUCCAAGUAUCUAUUGAUGCCCUUGUUGGAUGGGUGAGGGAUGCUAGGGUUUUACUUCAGGUUAUACAUUGUGGUAUAGUAUUUAACAAACUUGUUACAUGUAUAUCGGGGGAUCAUAACCUUCUGUCCACUAUGUGAUACAAUAUAAGGGAUUCUUAGUUGAGAUUGUCUACCUUAAGCCAUAAUCCCAGACAUUUCCCAGCUCCAUUUCCCUGGACAUAGGCAUUCGCCUUCAUUCUCUUUAAGUAAAAUUCAGCUUUUUGUAAAUCCAUAUGAUAUAAUUUGGCAUUGGGUGUCUGCUAUUUGAACACUCACCAAAGAAGAGGAAGUCAGUUGAUUUUACCUGUCCAAUUCAUACAGUUGUUUGUGCCACUUCAGCAGCGAGAGUUCUUCUGUUUUUACAGAUAUAAGACUCACCUGAUCGGUAUUACCUUAGCCACAGAUUUGUGACCAAAGUGUGGGAGAGUCAAUGUGGUAUCAUUCAGUUUAACCCCUUAAGGACCAAACUUCUGGAAUAAAAGGGAAUCAUGACAUGUCACACAUGUCAUGUGUCCAUAAGUGGUUAAAGUAUUGGGAUAGCUCGCUUUCUAAUUCCUGGACAAAUAUCGGGUUGCUUUGAAGAGUCUUAUUUAGUCUCCAGGAACACCAACCUCUAUAGUCGUAUUGGUUACUCAAUGUCAAGGUCGCCAAAUUGUGUUCAGACCAAUCCAGGAAUUCCUGUACUAAAUUUAGGUGGGAGCUAUACAUUAAAAACCCAGCAAUUCCAUAAUAAGAAUUGUCAAUCUGUCAGUAGUAUGAGUAUUCUCUCUCUUGGGGAUGUAUGAUGCACCAGAUGACAAAAAGUCACACAUAAAGGUUUAUCGAGGGCUUAACAUUAUUGUUCAAAUAUUACAAACAUAGUGGUAUUUUUUUUUUUUUUUUUGUUAAAAGUUUUUAUUAUAGAAGUAUUUUUGUUUUUAACAACCAAUACAGAAACAGUUGAAGAGUAUUAAGUUUUGUUGUUGUUUUUUAGUUAUUCACUUGUUUUGCCUUUAAGUGUCCUGCUUCUCAUGCUGUGUAGAUAAUAUUCCCCAACAUGCACAUGCUCUCUUCUUGAUUGGCUACCCAAUUGCACAUAAACAUAACUGUUUAGUACAAUACUCACAAUUAAACCAUAUAUGCAUUCAAUGAUGCAUUUUUUUUUCAUUUUGGGUAAAACUAAAAACCACUUGCAAAAGCUGCAGUCCCCUUUGCAGGCCUUCUCCUUCUAACCCCACCCAGACUUUCUGUGUCUACCAAUCACUGAAUUCCCAAUGUGGCUCAAUGAGAAAUAUUUGCAAGGCAGCUGCUCUGAGCAAUUGCCUGCCUCUGGAGUUUAGCUCUGCUGAGCUAAGAAAACCAGGAAGUAAUAGAAUUGGUUGUUUAAUUGACAGUCAGGGGGUGUUUCAAGGUUAAUUUAUAAAAGUGUAAAUUUCUGCUGAAAUCUACACUUUUUUUUUUUUCAAUUGUAAAUUUUAUUUCCCGAAUUUGAAGAUUCGAGUUUUCAGAUAUUAACAAGAGGGUGGGGGUAGAAGGGUACAGAAUAAAGAAGAGGGUGGGGGGAGGGGAUCGGUACAUUCAAGGUAAUCGAUUUAUACAUGUCAAUAACAAAGUUAUACAAAUAGUAUAAGGCAAUACGAAUAGUACAAGGCAAUACAACUAGUAUAAGGUAACACAAAUAGUGUAAGGUAUUACAAAUAGUAUAAGGCAAUGUGGCAAUAUAACAUGUUAGUAGAGCAAUAGUGUUCCCACAUAUGUCCAGCUCUAAGAGAAGUCACCCUACAUCUCCGUUUUAUACCAAUUAAACUUGUUAUACCUUGGAAGUCUUAGGUUAUUAUCAUCUAUCAAGAGGUUUGGUGAGCCAGUUUUACGAAUGGCUUCCAGAUCUUAAUAAUCUGUGCAGUGAGCUCGUGGGAGGUGGAAGCUAAAAGCUCAAAUUUGUAAUAAAGAGUUAUCCUAUCAAGUAGGUCUUUUCGGGAAGGGCAACUGGUGGUUUUCCAGUUUUGGGCUAUGAGAUGUCGCGCCGCUAGAAUUAUUAAGGAUGCCAUCUUUUUGUCUGCUUUCUUCCAUUGUGUAGGGAAGAUCAGUAGGAGUGUUAGUGUCGGCGAUAGGAGUUCUUGAAGAUGGAGUAGUCGUUGCAGAAGUGAGUGAACCUGUGACCAGAGUGGUAAAAUCUCUUUACACUCCCACCAUACGUGCAUCAUGGUGCCUGUGUGUGACAAGCAUCUCCAGCAUGUUGAGUUUGUGUUGGGGUAUAUUUGGUGAAGCCUUUGGGGUGUGAGGUACCAUCUGUAUAACACUUUUUUAUGUGCUUCCACAUGUGAGAAACAAGAGGUGAGGCCUGAGAGAGCAGUGAGCGCCGAAAGCCAGUGUGAGUCCGUGAGUGUAGGUAUUCCCUCUUUUUCCCAUUUUUGUACAUAGGAGAAUGAGCGGGGGGUAUUAUAGUCAAGUGUGGUCCUAUAGCAUAGCGACAGGGCUUUGGGUUUUAGUGGAGAUGUAUGGCAUCUGGAAAAGAUCUGUCAUGUCUGUUAAUCUAUAUGGUUGGAUCUGGGGAUUCAAGGUUACGUGAGUGGAGAUGACACUUUUUACCUGUAGGUAUUGAAAGAUACAAGAGUUAGGUAUGUUAUAUUGUGUUUGCAGGGCUGGGAAUGGCUUGAUUCCUUUUUGUGUGCAUAUGUCUUGGAUAAGUUUCACUCCAUACUUGGUCCAGGUCUUUAAGGACAACCAAGGUGUCAGUCUGGUCAAAGCUUCAAUCGGGCCCUUAAGGCAGAAUUUCCCUUUUUCGGUUAUAGUAGCCAUUAGCCUGUCCCAGUAUUUAAGCAUCAAUGCAGAGGUGGGGUAUAGUGACAAUUUCGGUGGUCGAUGGAUCUUAGGGGACUACAUGGCGUGGAGUAGGGAGUGCGGUUUGGAUCUAUCGGAUUCCAUAUCAGCCCAUUGGAACGUGUGUUUCGGAGCGUGAUAUCGAAUAGCGGAGUCUAGAAUGGCAGCUUCAUAAUACGUGGUUAACUUGGGCACCCCUAAACCACCUCUAGAUUGGAGCUGCUGCAGUAUGGAUACAUGUAAACGCGGUUUAGUUUUGUUCCAAAUGAAUCUAGCAAUUAUAGUUUGGAUAUUCUUGAGAGUCUGUGGGGGUACUUGUAUCGGGAGCAUUCGAAAUACGUAGAGGAUUUUUGGUAACAGCACCAUUUUCACGGUGUUUAUCCGUCCUAACCAUGAUAAGGGUACAUGUUUCCAGUGAUUGCAUAGUGAUUUACAAGUCUGUGAAAUCAGCCCAUAGUUCAUUGACAACGUUCUAUGGGGGUGUAACGCCAGUUUUACUCCUAAAUAUGUAAUAGAGUCUUGUCUCCAGUCAAAUCGAAAGGAUUGUCGGAGCAGGUUGACUUGUGUGUUUGGUAUGUGGAGGGGUAGUGCUUGUGUCUUGGUGUUAUUAAGUUUAUAGUACGAUAUUUUACCAUAAUCGUGGAGGAGGGAGAGGAGGCGAGGAAUUGUAUACGUCGGAUUUCCCACUGUCAAUAAAAUGUCAUCUGCGAACAUUGAUAGUUUAAAAGUCGAGGAGCCUAUGUCUAUACCUGAUAUCAAAGGGUCGUUUCUAAUUUUAUGCGCUAAAGGUUCUAGGGCGAGGAUGAAUAAAAGAGGGGAAAGGGGGCAUCCUUGCCUGGUGCCAUUAGAGAGAGCGAAAGGACGGGAGGUGAAGCCCGAGCUAGACACUCGUGCGGUUGGUGAUUUAUAUAGUGCCAGAAUACCUCGGGUCAUUUCUUGUGGGAAACCAUAUUUGUUUAAUACUGAUACCAUAUAAGCCCAGUUAAGUCGAUCAAAGGCUUUUUCAGCGUCUAAGGCCAACAAUAUGCUUUCAGUUCUUUGGUCCGCAAUGUGAGAUAGAAUGUUUAGGAUUUUUCUGGUAUUGUCGGAUCCUUGCCUGCCUUUAACAAAGCCUGUCUGAUCGUUGUGUAUGAUGCGGGUUAAUAUCGGGCUUAUCCUGUUAGCUAACAAUUUGGCAUAUAUUUUAGUGUCGCAGUUUAGCAAAGAUAUAGGUCGGAAAUUGGAGCACUGAGUCGGUGGUUUCCCAGGUUUUGGUAAGGUCGAAAUGUGGGCUUGUAGCAUUGCUGCAGGCAUGGAGCCCGUUUGGAAACAUCGGGUGAAGAAUGAUUUCAUGUAUGGUACAAGGGUGUCCCGAAAUGUAUAAUAAUAUAGGUUUGUAAAGCCAUCUGGGCCUGGGGAUUUGUGCUUUGGUAGUUGGUCGAGGGUAUCAAUUAUUUCCUGGUCUGAGAAGGGUUGAAUUAGGGCAUGACAUUCAGCUGGGGUGAGGGAUGCCAAUUCAAUAUCCUGCAGAAAUUGGUCUAUAUCCGUUUGCUUAGGGGGGGGACUGUCUUGUGACUUUGCUAGGUUAUAUAGGCCGCUAUAAUAUUGGCUAAACUCGUCUACUAUUUCUUGAGGGUCUAUGAUUUUCUUGCCUUGGUUCGAAAUAAGGAAGGCGAUUUUCGACGAUUGGGAUCUUGCUUUAAGUUGCGCUGCCAGAGUUUUCCCUGCCCUGUUUCCGGUAUGGAAAAAUUUAUGUUUCAACUUCGUUAAGAGGUAGGUCGUUUUCUCCAUCUCUAUAUCUUUCAAGGUAGACUGUAGUUCACGUAUCCGUGUGGUGGUAGUGUGAGAUGGGCUUGUCUUGUUUGUGUGUGUGAGUGUGGCUAGUUCUUUAUGUGUAUCUACAUAGCGUUUGGUUCUCUUUUUGUUGUUGUAGCUAGCGUGUUUAAUGAACUGCCCUCUAAGGACGGCUUUGUGUGCUUGCCACAGAGUAUGUAUAUUCAUCCCUUCUGUAUCGUUUAAUACAAAAUAUGAAUGGAGUUCUUUUUUGAUUUGUGCUACCAGUUCCUCGUCUUUUAAGAGGUAGUCAUUGAGGCGCCACGUGCGAGUCCCAGAAAUGGGGUAUUGUGUUGCUAGGGAUAAUGUAAUCGGGGCGUGGUCCGACCAUGUAAUAAUGCCUACAGGGGCGGACUGAGAGCCUUUGGGGCCCCCGGGCAAAAUUGGAUCCCAGGCCCUUUGAAGGCCAAAUAUAUGUGCAUUAAAUAAAUGUUAAAUAUAACUCAUAAUACAGCAUUCCUUUGGAUGUGUAUAUUGUGAAGACCUGUGUAUCAAUGCACGUUUGUAUUUGAGUCUGUGUGAAUGCACUUGUGCAUGUCGGGAUGACUACAUGUGCUUUUUUGUAUAUAGUGUCUGUGUGAAUGCAUAUGUGACAGGUGACAGUGUGUGAGGGAGAAGGUGACAGGUGGAAGAGUGUGGGAGGUUGUGACAGGUGGCAGAGUGAGGGGGUACCUGGUGGCAGAGUGAGGGAGGGAGGGAGGGAGGGGUUGAGUGGUGGCAGAGUGAGGGGGAGACACAGUGAGUGGGGGUGACUAGUGACAUAGGGAGGGAGAGGGGGUGACUAGUGACAGAGUUAGGGAAUGGGUGACUAGUGGCAGAGUGAGGGAGGGAAAAAAUGACUAGUGGCAGAGUGAGGGAGGGAAGGGGUGACUGGUGACAGAGUGAGGGGAUGACUGGUGACAGAGUGAGGGAGUGACUAGUGACAGAGGGAGGGGGUGACUGUCACUAGUCACCCCAUCCCUCUCACUGUCACUAGUCACUCCCUCCCUAACUCUGUCACUGUGUCACCCGCUCCCUCACUCUGUCACUAGUCACUCCCUCCCUAACUCUAUCACCAGUCACCCCUUCCUUCCUUCACAGUGACAGAGUUAGGGAGGGAGUGACUAGUGACAGAGUGAGGGAGCGGGUGACACAGUGACAGAGUUAGGGAGGGAGUGACUAGUGACAGAGAGAUGGAUGGGGUGACUAGUGACAGUCACCACCUCCCUCACUCUGUCACUAGUCACCCCUCCCUUCCCUCACUCUGCCACUAGUCACCCCUUCCCUCACUCUAUCACCUGUCACCCCCUCACUCUGUCACUAGUCACCCCCUCACUCUGUCACUAGUCACCCCCUCACUCUAGUGACAGAGUGACUAGUGACAGAGAGAGGGAGGGUGUGACUAGUGACAGAGUGAGGGAGGGAAGGGGUGACUAGUGAGAGUGAGGGAGGUGGUGAUUAGUGACAGAGGGAGGAAUGGGGUGACUAUCACUGUCACCCCCUUCCUCACUCUGUCACUAGUCACCCCCUCUCUCACUCUGUCACCAGUCAUUCCCUCACUCUGUCACCAGUCACCCCUUCCUUCCUUCACAGUGACAGAGUGAGGGGAUGACUGGUGACAGAGUGAGGGAAGGGAUGAAUAGUGGCAGAGUGAGGGAAGGAAGAGAUGACUGGUGACAGAGUGAGGGAAUGACUGGUGACAGAGUGAGAGAGGGGGUGAAUAGUGACCGAGUGAGGGAGGGAGAGGGUGACUAGUGACAGAGUGAGGAAGGGGGUGACACAGUGAUAGUCACCCCAUUCCUCCCUCUGUCACUAAUCACCACCUCCCUCACUCUCACUAGUCACCCCUUCCCUCCCUCACUCUGUCACUAGUCACACCCUCCCUCUCUCUGUCACUAGUCACACCCUCCCUCUCUCUGUCACUAGAGUGAGGGGGUGACUAGUGACAGAGUGAAGGGGUGGCAGGUGAUAGAGUGAUGGGGUGACUAGUGACAGUUACCACCUCCUUCACUCUGUCACUUGUCACCCCCUCCAUCACUCUGUCAUUGUGUCAUCCCCUUCCUCACUCUGUCACUAGUCACCCACUCCCUCCCUCACUCUGUCACUAGUCACUCACUCUGUCACUAGUCAUCCCCUUCCUUACUGUCACUAGUGACCCACUCCCUCUGUCACUAGUGACCCACUCCCUCUGUCACUAGUCACACCCUCCCUCUCUCUGUCACUAGUCACACCCUCCCUUUCUCUGUCACUAGAGUGAGGGGGUGACUAGUGACAGAGGGAGGGGAUGACUGGUGACAGAGUGAGGGACAGAGGGGGUGACUAGUGAUAGAAGGAGGGAGGGAGUAGUGACAGAGGGAGGUGAUGACUAGUGACAGAGUAAGGGAGCUGGUGACUAGUGACAGUCACCACCUCCCUCACUCUGUCACUAGUCACGCCUUCCUUCCCUCACUCUGCCACUAGUCACCCCAUCACUCUAGUGACAGAGUGAGGGAGGGUGUGACUAGUGACAGUUAGGCAGGGAAGGGGUGACUAGUGACAGAGGGAGGGGUGACUAGGGACAGAGUGAGGUAGGCGGUGACUAGUGACAGUCACCACCUCCCUCACUCUAUCACUAGUCACCACCUCCCUCCGUCACUGUGUCACCCCCUACCUCACUCUGUCACCAGUCAUCCCCUUACUCUGUCACUAGUCACCCCUCCCUUCCCUCACUCUGCCACUAGUCACCCCUUCCCUCCCUCUGUCACUAGUCACCACCUCCCUCUCUCUGUCACUAGUCACACCCUCCCUCACUCUGUCACUAGAGUGAGGGGGUGACAGGUGACAGAGUGAGGGAAGGGGUGACUAGUGGCAGAGUGAGGGGAUGACUAGUGACAGAGUGAGGGAGGUGACGACUAGUGACAGUGGGGGGGUGACUAGGGACGGGGGGUGACUAGUGACAGAGGAGGGGGGUGACUAGUGACAGAGGAGGGGGGUGACUAGUGACAGUGAGGAGGGGGGGUGACUAGUGACAGUGAGGAGGGGUGACUAGUGACAGUGGGGGGGUGACUAGUGACAGUGAGGAGGGGUGACUAGUGACAGGGGGGGUGACUAGGGAGGGGGUGAUUAGAGCCUACCUGUGCUUACUCUGCUCUCCCUGGCUGCUGCUCCUUCCCCUCGCUGGGCUCUGUGUGAGAGGCGAGUACAGGAAGUGAUGUCACUUCCUGUCCCCGCCUCUCCCAUCACACAGAGCACCGCGGGACAGGGAGAAGGAGACCUGGCAGCGAGGGAGAGGAGGUAAAGCUGCCAGGUCUCCAUGGGGGGGACACUUACAGGGCGGUAGGUUGUGGGGCCCCAAGCUGCAUCAGGGGCCCCACAACCUAUCAAUUAAAUAGUUUUUUUUUUUUUUUUUUCGUUCCAGUUGGAGAGAUCUCUGAUCUGAUCUCUCCAGCUGGAGCAUGGCUGUGCUGCCGGGCCCCUGACUGCCUCGGGCCCUCGGUCCAUGACCGAUAUGCCCGAGUGGUCAGUCCGCCCCUGAAUGCCUAUGUCCGCUUUGACUAAUGUCGGAAUUAGAGUCGAGGGGAUAAGGAAGCGGUCUAUUCUGGAAUAUGUGUCAUGAACUUGGGAGUAAUGCGUAAAGUCCCUGUCUAGAGGAUGAAGGGUUCUCCAUGCGUCAUUAUAUUCGUGUGUACGUAGCGUUUUGUCUAGGAGGGAUAUGGAGCGCGUUCUUUGGUUCAUUGUUUGUCGCGAAAUUUUGGCGGAGGAAGUGGUGUCUAAAGUUUGGUCUAGAAUGAAAUUUGUGUCUCCCCCUAUAAUAACCUGCCCGAAUUGAUAAGCAGAUGCCAAAACUAAGAUGUGUUCAAUAAAGGUGUGGCAGUCGGUGUGUGGUCCGUAGAGAUUGAUUAAGGUAUAUUGUGCGUUAUUAAUAAUGCAUUGAAGUAGGAGGUACCGGCCUUUUUUGUCGCCUAUUUUUUUCACUAGUUGGAAUGUCACGUCUUUACUAACUAGGAUAGAGACGCCUCGUUUUUUUGUCUUGUAUGUGCUGUGGUAGUUUGUGGGGAAGUGUCUGGAGAAGAAUUUGGGUUGGUUGGAUGUUUGAAAAUGGGUUUCCUGAUAAAAUGCUAUAUGAGCUUUCUGUUUCUUUGCUUCUAAAAGGGCCAUACGUCUUUUGUGUGGUGUGUUCAACCCUUUGGCGUUUAUAGAUAGAAUGUUAAGUGUCAUGGUGUGUUGAUGUGGGAUCCUAGAGUGAGUUGCUGGACUAUCGUGAAUGGUGGGAGAGAGGAGAUGGUAGGUGGCUGGUCCUGGGGUUUGGGUAUCGUAGCAUUAUCCAACCAAUACGUAACUCGCUGGAUCUCUAGAGGGCAUGAGUGGGAUGACCUGUGCCAUGUGGAAGAAUCCUUGAAAUUUUUGUUGUGGUGGUACGCGAUCCCCUUGCGGGGAGGUAAGGACGGGGGGUAAGGGAAGUAACUGGGAAAAUCAAACCAACUAUGUACAUUAAAAAGGUCUCUGCUGUGAGACCUGAUACUACCGGUGUUAUUGGGCAUUGAAGCCCUUAUGGGGGUUGGAGGAUCCCCAUAUGCGGUGUGAGAGAACAUUCCCUAUAGAGAAAUCAAGAUAUCUCCCUAGUUUGCGUGUGUCUUAACGGCAGUGUGGCAGUGUGGCAAAACUAGCAGUCUAUAGCGGGCUAUAGCCCAAACCUUCGGUUUACCUUUGCCUCUAGGUCCUGAAACAGCAUUUCAGUCAGUGUCAGAGUGUAACCAGGGGCGGCUACAUAUCAUACAUGUGCAAAAUUAUACUUUGUAUCUGGUAUGUUAUAUACAGUAGCAAGUGCUUAUGGUGAGAAACAGGUCACCAACCAAACGAGAUGUUAUGGGACAUCAAGUGGCAGUAGAAAGAGAUAAAAGUAUAUACAAAAAAAAUAUUGAAAAUAUAUACAAGAAAAAAUAUAGAAAUGCACGGUAAAACUUGGUGUGGGCGUAACAGUAUUAGCAUCGUCAUGUUGUCCUGUGACAAGAGCCUGUCUAGUGUGAAAGGCUCGGGAUGAGACUACGUGUAGUAUUAGGGCUAUGAGGUGCAUGAGCUCCGCUAGGCCUCUUACAUAUCUAGCGACAUUAUGGUUUUGCCCUGGGUAUGUGAUAGUCUCAGGGUUCUAGAGGGUCGUUAGGCAAAAGGGUGCGGUGUCCCCCUCACGUGGGAUAUCUAUGUUUGGGGAUAUCGCUCGAUUCAUUCCCUUUUUAGGUGCCAUGCUUGGGUGUACGGCUAGGGAGGGGCUCUUGUAAAAGAGUGUCGCAGGGGACCUAGGUCCUUGGGCCUAAAACCUGUGACCCUCCCACUACUAAUACCACAAAGCUCGAGGAGAACUAAACAUAUAUAACACAGUAAUUAGGUAUUACCAGUCCAUAGCAACUUUUACAGCAUAUAUCGUGAGAGUUAGUCCAUUGGGCACGGGUUUGCAUAGGCUGAUAUAGCGUGGUUCACUUAUCUGUGCGUCGAGUUUCCCAAUCUUGGGUGGUCUUUAAUGGUGACCUGGGUACAGAUUUUGCAGCCGUGUCGUCUGUGGGGUUUGUGUUGACAGGAAUAUUCCAGUCGGCCAGUGCUUUCUUCCCUUCUGCCAGGGUCACGAUGUGUCUUUCAUUACCGUUCCGUUUGACGAUGAGGCGUGUUGGGAAGCCCCACUUGUAGGGGAUCUCUGCCGCUCUUAAAGCGCUUGUGAUCGGUGCGAGGAUUCUUCUGGCUUGUAACGUGUGGGCUGAGAGAUCUGUAAACAAUAGAAUCUUGUUAUAUUCUUCAGGUAGGCUAGGCCGUUUUCUAGCGGCCGACAUUAUGGCCUCUUUAGUGGUGUAGUAAUGCACCCGUGUGAUGGUGUCUCUGGGAGCUGUCGGUGGUAGGUGCUGAGGCCUAGGUAGCCUAUGGAUCCUGUCCAAUAGUAACGCGGACUCUGUGAGAUCUGGGGCCAGUAAGUGGAAAAUCCGGCGCGCGUAGGCUCCUAGUUCGUGUGGGCCCACACUUUCUGGAAUGCCUCUAAUGCGGACAUUGUUCCUUCUGUCUCUGUCUUCAUGGUCGGCAAGUUUUGUAAGUAUCAUGUUGAUUUUAGUCUCCAUGGAGUCGAAGGCCGUCACCACAUUAUUAUGUGCUGUGAUGAUUUCUUCAGUUUUAUUUUCUAAGUAGUCUGUGCGGUCACCCAGUGCUUUAACGUCCGCUCUGAUUUCUUUUGAUAGCUGGGCGAAGUCCGCUCGUAGGGACGUUUGAAGUCCAUUGAGCAUCUUUUGAAUCGCUGAUUCCGUGGCCGGGAGGUCUCUGUGGGAGACCGACGUAAUAUCGCUCCGUCCGGAGCUCGAGGCUGGUGAUGUAGGCCUCUCGGCGCCAUCUUGUGAGCGACGGGGAGAGGAGGCCAUGGCCGAGAUUUGUAGGUUGGGGGCCUCUUUCGCCUUUGCUCUUUUCGGGAGGCGCUGUGCCAUGGUGGCUGGAAUGCUGGUAGCUUCUUAGCUUGUGGAGAAGGGGGUGAUCUCUCUUUGGAUGCUUGUCAAAUCGCUGCUUUGCGGGGAUCGCUCACGGAGCUGAACCUUCACACGUCUGUUCUCAUGAACGGUCAGGCCACGCCCCCCAAACAUAGUGGUAUUUUUAACUAUGGAUGAAUUAAAGGUAGGAUCAACCGUAUACUUAACGACAACUCAGCAACGGCUAGUCCCUGUUUAAAAUAAAGUAUAGCAUGUUAGUUCCUUUUGGAACUGUGUCCCCUGUGUGAAUUUGUUCAGGGACAAGUAACAAAGUCUUCUGACCUGUUGGCUUGCUGCUUGGUCCCUGUAGUCCAGGACAGGUCAAAAAGAGGUAGGCCUGAGAGCUGCAAGUGCCUUUUAUAAAGACAGCAACUGAUCACACUGCAUGCAGAGCUGUUGAUAAGUUGCUGUUAGGGGAACAGAAGAAGCACAGGCAGAGGGGACAAUACCUGUCUAAAAGAAUAGAGCUGCAGACUGAUCGGGUGGAAUAGUUCCUGAGAGACCCCAGUCAAGCUUUCGUGACUGGGUCUGAAGUGCUCCGGAGUUCCCUGUGAGAAUGAGGAUGUAAACUUGACGGAGGUAUUCAGUCAUUGUACGGGAGCUCUGUCACACAUGGAGCUAUAUGUGGGACGGCUUCCUAGUUAUUGGUAAACAUCCAAACAGCACCGGGACCCCUGCACACCUUCUGGAACAGAGAUGGACCACAGAAGCGGAUCUGCCUGGCCAGCCAUGACCAAGCAGGGGAAGAGUUAGCAAAAAUAGAUUAAUGCAUGUGGUGUAGCCAGGAGAGAGCUAUGGAGUCCCUUUAUCUUAAGACCUCAUCCUACCCCAGAGGAUAUUGAGUGGCUGGAUUGCUGGAUUCAUGAUAAAAUAUCAUGAUCUAAUAUUUCUGGAGGAACGUUAUGGAUGCUGGGCUGGUUUUGACCAGCUCAAUGAGUUUGGCUCGCAGUGCCACUUUAGAUUUCUUGCUGGUGGGUCUCCCUCACAUUUCCAGGAGGCCUCAAGGGUCGUCCAAUUCAGCCACUCAUAGCACUGCUCCAUGCGAUGCUAACUCCACUCCAGGAAAAGGGACCAUCCAACUGCUGCCACCAGGAAGGUUGUCCCUUGCUUUGUGUUAGAAGGUCCAGAGUAAUUAGGCUCUGUUGCAGAGUGUGUAGCUGUCUCACCCAAACACUAAACGAGACUUAGUAAAGGGUAAAUAAGAAAUUUUUUAUUGGCAUUCACUUCACACUGUUAUGCCUGGGAUAUGGAAUUUUGACACGGUACCUUGGUGUCUGUGUCUGAGCUAUAAUUUAAUUAGUGGCCAAACAGCUUGGCACCGGGUUAACAAAAUUUGGUUACAAAACAUGGUUCCCAUACCCACAUCCCCACAACAGUGCCAUCCCCGGAAAGGUCUCUCUGGAGCACUCAUUAGGUCCAAAAAGAGCCCAGUCAGAUGUGGCUAGCCCGAAUUAGAUGGAAGUCCAAAGUUUCAGUGGGAUGCGGCUAGCCUCUGAUCCGGCGAAGAGUUCCAGAGUUUGGAAGAGAUCCCGGGCACCUAAAAAGACAGCACUUUCUGUGGGUACAUGAAGCUCUCCAAAGUCCUUGGUAUCUUUCAGUGCCCCGCCACUCCCUCUGUUAACUCUCCAAAAAGUGCCAUGAUUGCUGAUUCUGGGACUGAGAGCGCUCUUGUAGAAGUUUCAAGGUUGCUUUUGGUCAGAUGCGCUGUGCCUCAGCGAUCCCCUGGCCAGUGCAGUAAGACACAGAAGAGCAGCUAAGAAAAGACACUGGGCUGGUCAUGGGCUGGAAGGUCAGUUCGUAGUGAAAAUAGCCUUUUAAGAGAGGAAUGGUGGUUGGGGAGACAUGUACCUGGCUUAGGUGACCAGAUGGUCACAAUCAAGUUGUUUAGAAGCAGGCUUUUCAGGAAACUGCAAGACCCUCAAUGUGCCCUAUGCAGUUGGCUGGAUGGUGAGCACUGUGCUGUGCGUUCCCCUCCUGACAGUCAAACGGAUCCUCAGGCUGGUGUGUCCUAAGGCGGCCACCUGUUCCGCCUUAUGGUAGCACCGGCCUUAUAUCCUUCUAAUAUGGGUAAAACCUAAAAAUGAAUUCGACAGAGGAAAUCGGGAGGUGUGUCCAUCUCAGAAUGUUCUGUACAGUUACUGCAGGAGCUGGUUAAGGACAAACUGUACAUUGUGCACACCUAGCCUAAAGGUCAUUGCCAGCAGACACCAGAACAUCUUCUGUAAGAACACACAACAACCUAUUUGCAUGAACGAAUGCUGGCGCAUGCGAAUUCGCACAGGCAGACAAACGCCCGCACUUAAAUAUACUGCAAUCAGUAUGGUAAAAACGUACCUCCUAUUUUGGCAAAAAACCUCUCCAUGUCCCAGAGGACCCCUAGAACACCUGUGAAGAGCAAAGGCUGCUAAAAACAUUGCGAAAGGGUCCCAAAGUCCCAGGUGACAAGGGAUAGAUCCAAAGAAAACCUAAAAGAAAUUAAAGAAAACAGAUGGAUAAUCCUGCUGGGCAUACUUUCUUCUAUAAGCAUGCCCCUUUUUUAAAAUCCUUCAUAGGUGCUUGCCAGCUAACCCUUGGGUCACUGCAGCAAAAUGGCCACGGCAUAAUCUUGCUAACCCCAAGGUCACUGCAUGUAACCCAAAGGGGUUUCUAAAGGAGCCAUACCUAAAGAAUUGCUGCAAGGAAAUAUACCUAUUCUUAAGACAGGUAAAAAUCCAGAAGAAAUCACCAGCUACCGACCAAUCUCUGUUCUAAAUUCAGAUGUAAAAAUAUAUGCAGCAGAGAGAUUAAAAUAGUAUUAGAUACAGUGAUUCAUAAUUACCUGGUAGGAUUUGUCCCAGGAAGAUCUCCAACUGGACAUAUGAGAUCACUUAUAAAUAUAAACAAUCGAUCCCGAUUAAAUGGUGUGCCCCAGAUGACUCUGUCAUUGGAUGCUGAAAAUGCAUUCGACAUUGUCAGCGGGGGCUAUAUGGCGGAAUCGUUGAAAGCAUAUGGAUUAAGGGGGAGAAUAUUUGAAGCAAUAAUGGCACUAUAAACCAAACCGAGAGGUAAGGUAAUAGGAUCUGGUAUCGUAUCACCAUGGUUUUAUUUAACGAAUGACACACGACAGGGGUGUCCUUUAUCACCCUUGCUGUAUGUCCUCAACCUGGAACUUUUAGCCAGGAUAAUUAGAACCCAUCCUAAAAUUCAGGGAUUUAUUAAAAUAAAUACACAGAUUUUGACUGUAGAAGUGUCAGGAUUACUGUUUGAUCCAGCACGUAGAACUGUACAGCACGGAUGACAAAUAAGUAACGUAUUACCGGUCCUUAGAAUGGCCGGAUUUAACGUACAAAGAAUAGUCAAAAAUACUAGCCGAGGUCAGGGAACACAGAAAGGGACACAGCGAUGAGGAAAGCCAGGAGUCAGGAUACCAGAAUAUAGAGAAGUCAAUAAACAAAGCCAAAGUCAAAAACCAGGUAGAAAACUAUAAACAGGAACGCGCUCUCAGACAACCACAAGGGAAACCACGACAGGGCACUGAGCAGGCUGAGAACUGGGCCUAAAUACCCCUCCUUUAGUUCUGAUAGGCUGUAACCGGCCUUUGACCCCAAAGUCAGUUACCAGGUUUCAUUUGCAUAAUUGCUGCUCAGCAUUAACCCUUCUGUGGAUUAGGUUGCUGCUCGGCACAACUUUUCCUGUGUGGACAGUAAAUGUCAUUAACCACUUUUCUAUAAGCGGAUGAAUACAUGAGACCAGGUUUCAUUUGCACAAUUACUGCUCAGCAUUAAACCUUCUGUGGAUUAGGUUGCUGCUCGGCACAACUUUUCCUGUGUGGACAGUAAAUGUCAUUAACCACAUUUCUAUAAGCGGAUGAAUACGUGACAUUACCCCCCACCUGAAGAACGCCCACCGGGCGGACAGGACCAGGCUUGAGAGGAAAUUUAGCGUGAAAAGCGCAGAUCUUACGGCCCGCAUGCAGGUCAGGAGCCGAAACCCAAGAACGAUCAGCAGGACCGUAACCUUUCCAAACAACCAAGUACUGUAAAGUGCCCCGAGAAAACCUAGAAUCCACGAUAGAAGAUACCUCAUACUCUUCCUGACCACCCACCACCACCGGAGGGGGAGGAACACAAGAAACAGUAUAUCUAUUGCAGACAAGAGGUUUGAGUAAGGACACAUGAAAAGUGUUGGGAAUCCCUAAAGAUGCAGGAAGAGCCAGAGAUUAAGACACUGGAUUGAUCCUACGAAGCACUCUAUAGGGACCAAGGAAUCUGGGGGCAAACUUCAUGCUAGGGACCUUAAGCUUGAUGUUGCGAGAUGACAACCAAACCCGGUCCCCCACUUGGUACACCGGGUUGGCACUCCUACGCUUAUCAGCAAAAUGUUUGAAGCGUUCAGCAGCAGCCCCUAGAGCAGUUUGAACCUUAACCCAGGUAUCCCGAAUGGAGGCCAGACGCUCAUCCAGAGCAGGAAUGGCAGUAUCAGAAAAUACCGCAGGGAGAACCGUAGGAUGCCUACCAUUAUUGACAAAAAAUGGACUGUGCCCAGAGGAGUCAUGAACAGCAUUGUUUCUAGCGAACUCGGCCCACGGGAGUAGUUCGGACCAAUUGUCUUGUGUGCUAUUAAUAAAACAACGCAAAUAAACUUCUAAUGACUGGUUAGCCCUCUCAGCUGUACCAUUGGUCUGUGGAUGGUAGGAGGAGGAGAAGGAGAGAUCAAUCCCCAAUUGUUUACUGAACGCCCUCCAGAACCUGGACACAAACUGAGAGCCCCUAUCAGACACAAUAUUGUGGGGGAUGCCAUGCAAACGGACAAUUUCACGUAUGAAAAUUAGGACCAAAUCUUGCGAAGAUGGCAACUUCUUGAGAGGAAUGAAGUGAGCCAUCUUAGAAAAUCGGUCUACAACCAUGAGAAUAGUAGUGAACCCAGCAGAGCUAGGAAGCUCAACAAUAAAGUCCAUGGAUAAGUGGGACCAUGGAAUCUCAGGAACAGGAAGAGGCUGCAACAGGCCACAAGGAAGUGCAUGAGUCACCUUAGAAACUGCACACACAGAGCAUGCCUGCACAUACUCCUUUACAUCUUUCCUGAGUGAAUCCCACCAAAAUGAUCUAGUGAUCGCGGCAGUGGACUUAUUGAUGCCCGGGUGUCCAGCAGUUAUAUUGUCAUGGAACACUUUCAUGAUAUUAACCCUUUCACAUAGGGGAACGAACAGUUUAUCACACGGUUUACCACUGGGCGCCUGAGGCUGGGCCUCCAGUAUGGUGCCAAGCAGUGGAGAAGACAGUGAGAGGACAGUAGUGGCAAUAAUACACUCUGGUGGAAUAAUAGGAGAUGUCACCUGUUCCGGAGCUGACUCAUUAUCAAAUUGCCUGGACAAGGCAUCAGCCUUGGUAUUUUUAGAACCAGGUCUAUAAGUAAUGAGAAAGUUAAAACGUGAAAGGAAUAGUGACCAUCUAGCCUGUCUGGAAGACAAACGUUUGGCAUCCCCUAUAUAUGCCAGAUUUUUGUGGUCGGUUAUGAUCAACAGGGGGUCCUUGGAACCCUCCAAAAGAUGUCGCCACUCCUUGAGGGCAAGAAUAAUGGCCAACAGUUCUCUAUUGCCAAUAUCAUAGUUGCGCUCAGCAGGAGACAUCUUUCUGGAGAAGUAGCCACAAGGAUGCAAUGGUGUUCCCUGGCUUUCUCUCUGAGAGAGAACAGCCCCUACCCCUGUCUCGGAUGCAUCAACCUCCAAUAUAAAAGGUUUACUGGUGUCAGGAUGUUUUAGUAUGUCCGCAGAGGCAAAUCUUUGUUUAAGAGUCUCAAAAGCAUUCACAGCCUCUUUGGACCAUACCGUGCUACUAACCCCUUUGCGAGUCAUAUUUGUGAUUGGGGCUAUUACAGAAGAAAAUCCCUUGAUGAAUCUCCUGUAAUAGUUGGCGAAACCAAUAAACCUUUGAAUGGCUUUUAAACCAGAGGGUAAUGGCCAGUGUAGUACAGCCUCUAGUUUUUUAGGAUCCAUUUGAAAUCCCGAUGCAGAGAUGUUGUAACCCAAAAAGUGGACUUCAGGCUGGUCAAAUAUGCACUUUUCUAAUUUGCAAUAAAGUUUAUUUUUCAACAACGUCUGCAGAACCUGUUUCACAUGGGAGUGGUGAGUCUGAAGAUCAGGGGAAUACACCAAAAUAUCGUCCAAAUAAACCAAGACAAAUGAGUAAAUGAAUUCCCUGAGUACAUCAUUUAUAAAGUCUUGGAAUACGGCCGGGGCGUUGCAUAACCCAAAUGGCAUUACCAGAUAUUCAUAGUGUCCACUACGGGUAUUAAAUGCCGUCUUCCACUCAUGAUUCUCUUUAAUUCUAACCAAAUUGUAAGCGCUCCUAAGGUCAAGCUUAGUAAAUACUUUAGCUCCCUGAAGUCUAUCGAACAAUUCGGAAAUGAGUGGGAUAGGGUAUGCAUUUUUUACAGUGAUUUUAUUAAGUGCCCUGUAGUCUAUGCAAGGGCGUAACUCACCACCCUUUUUCUCAACAAAAAAGAAUCCUGCACCAGCUGGUGAGGAUGACUUUCUUAUGUGCCCUUUGCUCAAGGAUUCUUUGAUGUAUUCCUCCAUUAUUUUACUCUCCUGGGGAGAUAAGGCAUAAACUGCCCCCUUAGGUGGCAUAGCGCCUGGAAACAGGUUAAUGGCACAGUCAUAUGCUCUGUGGGGAGGCAAUACAUCAGAUUGAGCCUUGUUAAACACCUCCUGAAGUUCUCGGUAUUGUAUGGGAACUCCAGGAGUUUGGGGAGUGGUAGUGGGAAGGUCAAUAGUAUCCAAUCUCUUUAGUACUGGUUUUAUACAUCUCCCCAUACACUCUUUACCCCAUUCUAAUAUCUCCCCAUUAGCCCAGUCAAUAUAGGGAUUGUGCUUACUCAGCCACGGAAACCCUAAUAUGAUAGGACAUGAUGGAGAAGUAAUAACCUGAAACGUCAUCUCCUCCCUAUGGGAGGCCCCAAUGGAGAUCGUAAUAGGGACAGUUUCGUGGGUUAUAAGCGGUUGUGUGAGUGGUCUACCAUCAAUAGCCUCUACAGCUAGCGGCGUAGGUCUCUCCCUGACCGGUAUCUCAUUACCCCUAAUAAACUGGACAUCAAUAAAAUUUCCAGCAGCACCUGAGUCCAUUAGGGCACUGCAAGAAAACUUCUUGUUAUCAAGGGAAAUAGAUACCUCAAGGAGGAAUCUACUUUUGUUUUUGUUAGAGGACAACUCCAUCACACCUAAGAUCUGUCCCCUUAAGGUUCUUAGGUGCGGAAGUUUUCCGGACGCACUGGACAAUUAGUUAUCAUAUGUCCCUUUCUACCGCAAUAUAGGCAUAACCCCUCCCUUCUCCUAUACUGUUUUUCGGCCUCUGACAGUCUAGUGACCCCCAACUGCAUAGGUUCGGGUUCGGACUGUACAGGGAGGUUAGACAAAACAGGUUUAGAGAAUUGAGGUGCUAGGGACAUAGCCGUACGUCUGGUCUUGCUUCUGGUGACUUCUCUGAGUCUUAACCUAUUAUCAAUAUGCAUGACAAACGUAAUAAAUUCGUUAAGACUCUUAGGUAAUUCUUUAGCGGCUAUCUCAUCUAGUAUAGUCUCUGAGAGACCCUUUUUGAAUGCUGAGAUUAACCCAUUGUUAGUCCAGUCUACCUCGGAAGCUAAGGUACGGAAUUCAAUAGCAUAAUCCGAGAUAGACCGGUUACCUUGUCUGAUGUGCAUUAGGGCAGUGGAGGCGUCAUCCUCUCUACCCAAUGGCUCAAACGUGAGCUUGAAUUCGGCAAGGAAUUCCUGGUAAUUAUGAGCUAUGCUCCGAUUACUCUCCCACAACGGAUUAGCCCAGGCAAGGGCCUUGCCCUUUAAUUGAUUCAUUAGAUAACCAAUUCUUGCUCUGUCCAUGGGGAAUGACCCUGGUGAGGCCUCAAAAUGGUACUCCACCUGAUUAAGAAAACCCCUGCAUUCCUGGAUAUUGCCAUCAAACUGUAGGGAUGGUGAUAAGGAGAUGCUAGGAGUCAUAUUAACAGUGGGUGGAGGUACACAGGGUAGAGGUGCUAUAGGAGGAGACACUGCAGGCUGCAGAUGCUCCGUUCUAGCGAGAAGCGUACUUAAAGCCUGAGUGAAUUGAUCCAUGCGGUGAUCAUUCUCCUCUAAUUUCCUCUCGCAAGCAGCUAUGUGCUGACACAGUUCUACAGGAUCUAUGGCCAUGUCGUAAUGUCAGGAUUACUGUUUGAUCCAGCACGUAGAACUGUACAGCACGGAUGACAAAUAAGUAACGUAUUACCGGUCCUUAGAAUGGCCGGAUUUAACGUACAAAGAAUAGUCAAAAAUACUAGCCGAGGUCAGGGAACACAGAAAGGGACACAGCGAUGAGGAAAGCCAGGAGUCAGGAUACCAGAAUAUAGAGAAGUCAAUAAACAAAGCCAAAGUCAAAAACCAGGUAGAAAACUAUAAACAGGAACACGCUCUCAGACAACCACAAGGGAAACCACGACAGGGCACUGAGCAGGCUGAGAACUGGGCCUAAAUACCCCUCCUUUUUCUGAUAGGCUGUAACCGGCCUUUGACCCCAAAGUCAGUUACCAGGUUUCAUUUGCAUAAUUGCUGCUCAGCAUUAACCCUUCUGUGGAUUAGGUUGCUGCUCGGCACAACUUUUCCUGUGUGGACAGUAAAUGUCAUUAACCACUUUUCUAUAAGCGGAUGAAUACUUGAGACCAGGUUUCAUUUGCACAAUUACUGCUCAGCAUUAAACCUUCUGUGGAUUAGGUUGCUGCUCGGCACAACUUUUCCUGUGUGGACAGUAAAUGUCAUUAACCACAUUUCUAUAAGCGGAUGAAUACGUGACAAGAAGAUCUUUGUAAAUCAAUAGAUGGGAUUAUGGAUUCUCUUUAUUAUAUAACUACAAAUUAAAUGAAACAAAAUCUAUAGCGAUCCCUUAAAAUAUGUCUAUAAUUCAAGUUCAUUAUCUGAAAGAUAAACAUAAUUUUAAAUGGGAAAAUAAUCAGUUUACAUAUUUAGGUAUUAAAAUAUUAACUAAACCUAGUGAAUGGAUGAAAAUAAAUCUAUUCCCUCUGAUAAAGGAUGUGAAUAGGUCAUUUAAUAAUGUAAAAUGUUACAAAUCUCCUGUUGGGGGAAAAUAAAUACCGUGAAGGCAUAUAUGCUCACCAAGUUUACGUACAUAUUUAGAAUGGUUCCUUUAAAAACUCCAACUCCAUGGCUAAAUAUGAUUCAGACCGCAUUUUCUAGAUUUUUUUUGGCUGGCAAGGGACCCAGACUAAAUUUACAACUACUUGCUAAAAAAAAAACAAAAAAAAAAAACAUAUAGGAGGGCUGGGAGUACCAUUUAUUCAAGACUAUGCAGAUGCGGCUCUAUUAGCACAUGCGGUGACAUAAAAAAUAAAUAGAGCUUCAUCUGAGAGUUGGUAUCUAAUAGAGAUGAAAGAUUUUAAACCUCAAGACUUGUUGACCCAAUGACAGAAAUGUGGAAAUCACAGAAUUCUUUGAAAUCUUCAAAUAUAAUAGAAGGGAAUAUAGCUUUAAACCAUAUUCUGUUAAAUUGGUAUACAUUUAAAAAUAAAGAUAACAUAAAAGACAAAGUUUUACCAUGUCCACCUUUAAAAAUUGGCUUCAUGGAAAAUAUAGAUCCUUAACCAUGGAUAAAUAAAGGAAGCAUAGAAAUUCAACAUUUAAUAUAGGGAAAUACAAUAAAAUCCUUCUUUGCACUUCAAACGGAAUUUAAUCUUGGUGACCAGGAAAUAUUUAAAUAUUGUUUAUUAAUGAUAAUUCUCAAAUAGUCUACAUUUUUAACAAAAUGUUUUAAAAAAAUAAUGAUUGCAAACAAUUAAUAACAAAAUAUCUUGAAAUUAUCAAGAUAUGUAAAAAAGAUAUCCUAAUUACUGCUAUAAUAAAAUGGGUAGACGAGUUACAGAUCCAGAUUAAUGAAGAAGAAUGGAAUAAGGCAUUAAAUCUAUGUUAUAGAUCGGUACACUGUCUAAAUCUCAAUGAAAUACAUGUAAUUGUAAACAGACAAGUUUGACACACAGAGACAGAGGGGUUGAGAGCCCUGCUCAAUUAGCUUACAUGCUAGAGGGCGUGGGGUAAAGUGACACAAAAGGUAAGGGAAGUAUUAGGGAAGUAGAUUGGUAGAAUAGUAUUCAAUAAAGACUUAGUGUGGGGUUUUUUCGAGCCAUUAAUAGUUUAAUUAAUAUGCUGAUGUGAAAAAGUGAGUUUUUAAUGAUUUUUUGAAGGAAUAGAGACUGGGUGAGCAUCUAAUGUAAAAGGGAAGGGAGUUCCACAGGAGCGGAGGAGUCAAAGAGAACACCUAGGCAAUGAGCCUGCGUGGUGGAGCUGAUGGUGGAGCACUAUAAACGUGAAGGGAGACAGAAAUGGGAGUAGCAACACUUGAGGGAGGAAAGACCAGAAGUUCUGUUUUGGACAAGUUGAGUUUAAAGAAGUGGGCAGCCAUCCAGUUAGAAAUAGCAGAGAGGCAGUCAGAGACACUAGUCAAGAGGGGCUGGGAGAGAUCAGGGGAGGACAGGAAGAUUUGCGUGUUAUCUGCAUAGAAGUGAUAUUGGAAGCCAAAGGAUGUGAUGAGUUUACCAUGGGAGGCAGUAUAGAUUGAGAAUAGUAGGGGACCAAGGACUAAAGGACUAAACCUUUGGGGACACCAACAAAGGAGGUUGUGCGGAAGAGUCAGAGCUAGAGAAAGAGACACUAAAAGAGCGCUGGGUGAGGUAGGAGGAGCACCAGGAGAGAGCAAUAUCUCAUAGACCAAGAUUACUGAGGAUGAGAAGAUGCUGUUGAUGAUCAACAGUAUCAAAAUGUCACAUAUUCAUCCGCUUAUAGAAAUGUGGUUAAUGACAUUUACUGUCCACACAGGAAAAGUUGUGCCGAGCAGCAACCUAAUCCACAGAAGGGUUAAUGCUGAGCAGUAAUUGUGCAAAUGAAACCUGGUGUCAUGUAUUCAUCCGCUUAGAGAAAAGUGAUUAAUGACAUUUACUGUCCACACAGGAAAAGUUGUGCCGAGCAGCAACCUAAUCCACAGAAGGGUUAAUGCUGAGCAGCAAUUAUGCAAAUGAAACCUGGUAACUGACUUUGGGGUCGGUUGCAGCCUAUCAGAAAGAAAGGAGGGGUAUUUAGGCCCAGUUCUCAGCCUGCUCAGUGCCCUGUCGUGGUUUCCCCUGUGGUUGUCUGAGAGCGCGUUCCUGUUUAUAGUUUUCUACCUGGUUUUUGACUUUGGCUUUGUUUAUUGACUUCUCUAUAUUCUGGUAUCCUGACUCCUGGCUUUCCUCAUCGCUGUGUCCCUUUCUGUGUUCCCUGACCUCGGCUAGUAUUUUUGACUAUCCUUUGUACGUUAAAUCCGGCCAUUCUAAGGACCGGUAAUACGUUACUUAUUUGUCAUCCAUGCUGUACAGUUCUACGUGCUGGAUCAAACAGUAAUCCUGACAUUACGACAUGGCCAUAGAUCCUGUAGAACUGUGUCAGCACAUAGCUGCUUGCGAGAGGAAAUUAGAGGAGAAUGAUCACUGCAUGGAUCAAUUCACUCAGGCUUUAAGUACGCUUCUCGCUAGAACGGAGCAUCUGCAGCCUGCAGCGUCUCCUCCUAUAGCACCUCUACCCUGUGUACCUCCACCCACUGUUAAUAGGACUCCUUGCAUCUCCUUAUCACCAUCCCUACAGUUUGAUGGCAAUAUCCAGGAAUGCAGGGGUUUUCUUAAUCAGGUGGAGUACCAUUUUGAGGCCUCACCAGGGUCAUUCCCCACGGACAGAGCAAGAAUUGGUUAUCUAAUGAAUCAAUUAAAGGGCAAGGCCCUUGCCUGGGCUAAUCCGUUGUGGGAGAGUAAUCGGAGCAUAGCUCAUAAUUACCAGGAAUUCCUUGCCGAAUUCAAGCUCACAUUUGAACCAUUGGGUAGAGAGGAUGACGCCUCCACUGCCCUAAUGCACAUCACACAAGGUAACCGGUCUAUCUCGGAUUAUGCUAUUGAAUUCCGUACCUUAGCUUCCGAGGUAGACUGGAUUAACAAUGGGUUAAUCUCAGCAUUCAAAAAGGGUCUCUCAGAGACUAUACUAGAUGAGAUAGCUGCUAAAGAAUUACCUAAGAGUCCUAACGAAUUUAUUACGUUUGUCAUGCAUAUUGAUAAUAGGUUAAGACUCAGAGAAGUCACCAGAAGCAAGACCAGACGUACGGCUAUGUCCCUAGCACCUCAAUUCUCUAAACCUGUUUUGUCUAACCUCCCUGUACAGUCCGAACCCGAACCUAUGCAGUUGGGGGUCACUAGACUGUCAGAGGCCGAAAAACAGUAUAGGAGAAGGGAGGGGUUAUGCCUAUAUUGCGGUAGAAAGGGACAUAUGAUAACUAAUUGUCCAGUGCGUCCGGAAAACUUCCGCACCUAAGAACCUUAAGGGGACAGAUCUUAGGUGUGAUGGAGUUGUCCUCUAACAAAAACAAAAGUAGAUUCCUCCUUGAGGUAUCUAUUUCCCUGAUAACAAGAAGUUUUCUUGCAGUGCCCUAAUGGACUCAGGUGCUGCUGGAAAUUUUAUUGAUGUCCAGUUUAUUAGGGGUAAUGAGAUACCGGUCAGGGAGAGACCUACGCCGCUAGCUGUAGAGGCUAUUGAUGGUAGACCACUCACACAACCGCUUAUAACCCACGAAACUGUCCCUAUUACGAUCUCCAUUGGGGCCUCCCAUAGGGAGGAGAUGACGUUUCAGGUUAUUACUUCUCCAUCAUGUCCUAUCAUAUUAGGGUUUCCGUGGCUGAGUAAGCACAAUCCCUAUAUUGACUGGGCUAAUGGAAUGGGGUAAAGAGUGUAUGGGGAGAUGUAUAAAACCAGUACUAAAGAGAUUGGAUACUAUUGACCUUCCCACUACCACUCCCCAAACUCCUGGAGUUCCCAUACAAUACCGAGAACUUCAGGAGGUGUUUAACAAGGCUCAAUCUGAUGUAUUGCCUCCCCACAGAGCAUAUGACUGUGCCAUUAACCUGUUUCCAGGCGCUAUGCCACCUAAGGGGGCAGUUUAUGCCUUAUCUCCCCAGGAGAGUAAAAUAAUGGAGGAAUACAUCAAAGAAUCCUUGAGCAAAGGGCACAUAAGAAAGUCAUCCUCACCAGCUGGUGCAGGAUUCUUUUUUGUUGAGAAAAAGGGUGGUGAGUUACGCCCUUGCAUAGACUACAGGGCACUUAAUAAAAUCACUGUAAAAAAUGCAUACCCUAUCCCACUCAUUUCCGAAUUGUUCGAUAGACUUCAGGGAGCUAAAGUAUUUACUAAGCUUGACCUUAGGAGCGCUUACAAUUUGGUUAGAAUUAAAGAGAAUCAUGAGUGGAAGACGGCAUUUAAUACCCGUAGUGGACACUAUGAAUAUCUGGUAAUGCCAUUUGGGUUAUGCAACGCCCCGGCCGUAUUCCAAGACUUUAUAAAUGAUGUACUCAGGGAAUUCAUUUACUCAUUUGUCUUGGUUUAUUUGGACGAUAUUUUGGUGUAUUCCCCUGAUCUUCAGACUCACCACUCCCAUGUGAAACAGGUUCUGCAGACGUUGUUGAAAAAUAAACUUUAUUGCAAAUUAGAAAAGAGCAUAUUUGACCAGCCUGAAGUCCACUUUUUGGGUUACAACAUCUCUGCAUCUGGAUUUCAAAUGGAUCCUAAAAAACUAGAGGCUGUACUACACUGGCCAUUACCCUCUGGUUUAAAAGCCAUUCAAAGGUUUAUUGGUUUCGCCAACUAUUACAGGAGAUUCAUCAAGGGAUUUUCUUCUGUAAUAGCCCCAAUCACAAAUAUGACUCACAAAGGGGUUAGUAGCACGGUAUGGUCCAAAGAGGCUGUGAAUGCUUUUGAGACUCUUAAACAAAAAUUUGCCUCUGCGGACAUACUAAAACAUCCCGACACUAGUAAACCUUUUAUAUUGGAGGUUGAUGCAUCCGAGACAGGGGUAGGGGCUGUUCUCUCUCAGAGAGAAAGCCAGGGAACACCAUUGCAUCCUUGUGGCUACUUCUCCAGAAAGAUGUCUCCUGCUGAGCGCAACUAUGAUAUUGGCAAUAGAGAACUGUUGGCCAUUAUUCUUGCCCUCAAGGAGUGGCGACAUCUUUUGGAGGGUUCCAAGGACCCCUGUUGAUCAUAACCGACCACAAAAAUCUGGCAUAUAUAGGGGAUGCCAAACGUUUGUCUUCCAGACAGGCUAGAUGGUCACUAUUCCUUUCACGUUUUAACUUUCUCAUUACUUAUAGACCUGGUUCUAAAAAUACCAAGGCUGAUGCUUUGUCCAGGCAAUUUGAUAAUGAAUCAGCUCCGGAACAGGUGACAUCUCCUAUUAUUCCACUAGAGUGUAUUAUUGCCACUACUGUCCUCUCACUGUCUUCUCCACUGCUUGGCACCUCCUGGAGGCCCAGCCUCAGGCGCCCAGUGGUAAACCGUGUGAUAAACUGUUCGUUCCCCUAUGUGAAAGGGUUAAUAUCAUGAAAGUGUUCCAUGACAAUAUAACUGCUGGACACCCGGGCAUCAAUAAGUCCACUGCCGCGAUCACUAGAUCAUUUUGGUGGGAUUCACUCAGGAAAGAUGUAAAGGAGUAUGUGCAGGCAUGCUCUGUGUGUGCAGUUUCUAAGGUGACUCAUGCACUUCCUUGUGGCCUGUUGCAGCCUCUUCCUGUUCCUGAGAUUCCAUGGUCCCACUUAUCCAUGGACUUUAUUGUUGAGCUUCCUAGCUCUGCUGGGUUCACUACUAUUCUCAUGGUUGUAGACCGAUUUUCUAAGAUGGCUCACUUCAUUCCUCUCAAGAAGUUGCCAUCUUCGCAAGAUUUGGUCCUAAUUUUCAUACGUGAAAUUGUCCGUUUGCAUGGCAUCCCCACAAUAUUGUGUCUGAUAGGGGCUCUCAGUUUGUGUCCAGGUUCUGGAGGGCGUUCAGUAAACAAUUGGGGAUUGAUCUCUCCUUCUCCUCCUCCUACCAUCCACAGACCAAUGGUACAGCUGAGAGGGCUAACCAGUCAUUAGAAGUUUAUUUGCGUUGUUUUAUUAAUAGCACACAAGACAAUUGGUCCGAACUACUCCCGUGGGCCGAGUUCGCUAGAAACAAUGCUGUUCAUGACUCCUCUGGGCACAGUCCAUUUUUGUCAAUAAUGGUAGGCAUCCUACGGUUCUCCCUGCGGUAUUUUCUGAUACUGCCAUUCCUGCUCUGGAUGAGCGUCUGGCCUCCAUUCGGGAUACCUGGGUUAAGGUUCAAACUGCUCUAGGGGCUGCUGCUGAACGCUUCAAACAUUUUGCUGAUAAGCGUAGGAGUGCCAACCCGGUGUACCAAGUGGGGGACCGGGUUUGGUUGUCAUCUCGCAACAUCAAGCUUAAGGUCCCUAGCAUGAAGUUUGCCCCCAGAUUCCUUGGUCCCUAUAGAGUGCUUCGUAGGAUCAAUCCAGUGUCUUACUCUCUGGCUCUUCCUGCAUCUUUAGGGAUUCCCAACACUUUUCAUGUGUCCUUACUCAAACCUCUUGUCUGCAAUAGAUAUACUGUUCCUUGUGUUCCUCCCCCUCCGGUGGUGGUGGGUGGUCAGGAAGAGUAUGAGGUAUCUUCUAUCGUGGAUUCUAGGUUUUCUCGGGGCACUUUACAGUACUUGGUUGUUUGGAAAGGUUACGGUCCUGCUGAUCGUUCUUGGGUUUCGGCUCCUGACCUGCAUGCGGGCCGUAAGAUCCGCGCUUUUCACGCUAAAUUUCCUCUCAAGCCUGGUCCUGUCCGCCCGGUGGGCGUUCUUCAGGUGGGGGUAAUGUCACAUAUUCAUCCGCUUAUAGAAAUGUGGUUAAUGACAUUUACUGUCCACACAGGAAAAGUUGUGCCGAGCAGCAACCUAAUCCACAGAAGGGUUAAUGCUGAGCAGUAAUUGUGCAAAUGAAACCUGGUGUAAUGUAUUCAUCCGCUUAGAGAAAAGUGAUUAAUGACAUUUACUGUCCACACAGGAAAAGUUGUGCCGAACAGCAACCUAAUCCACAGAAGGGUUAAUGCUGAGCAGCAAUUAUGCAAAUGAAACCUGGUAACUGACUUUGGGGUCAAAGGCCGGUUACAGCCUAUCAGAACUAAAGGAGGGGUAUUUAGGCCCAGUUCUCAGCCUGCUCAGUGCCCUGUCGUGGUUUCCCUUGUGGUUGUCUGAGAGCGCGUUCCUGUUUAUAGUUUUCUACCUGGUUUUUGACUUUGGCUUUGUUUAUUGACUUCUCUAUAUUCUGGUAUCCUGACUCCUGGCUUUCCUCAUCGCUGUGUCCCUUUCUGUGUUCCCUGACCUCAGCUAGUAUUUUUGACUAUUCUUUGUACGUUAAAUCCGGCCAAUCUAAGGACCGGUAAUACGUUACUUAUUUGUCAUCCAUGCUGUACAGUUCUACGUGCUGGAUCAAACAGUAAUCCUGACACAAAAGCAGCGGAAAAGUCAAGGAGAUGUAGGAUAAAAUAGUGACCAUAAGAUUUUGCAUCUAGUAGAUUGUUUGAUACUUUGGUCAGAGCCAUUUCCACAGAGUGCUGAGCACGGAAACCAGACUGAAAUGGAUCGAGUGGACUCGAGGAAGUCUGUCAAACAUACACAAGUCUUUCAAGGAUCUUGGACGCAAAAGGCAAUAGCGAGAUACGGUGGUAGUUGGACGGGGAUUUAGGGUUAAGGUUCGGCUUUUUUAGAAUCAGGGUUACAGUUGCAUGUUGAAGGGUAAUGGAGAUAUGCCAGAGGAGAAGGCGAGAUUGAGAAUUUUAGUGAUAGGCAAAGCAAGAGAAGGAGACAGAGUACAGAUGAGAUGUGAGAAAAUAGGAUCAAGGUUGCAGGUGGUGGGGUGGGAGAACUGGAGCAGAUCAGAAACCUCUUCCGCUGUAGUGUGUGUGUGAAUGAACACAGAACAGCAGAGGGAGUAAGGUUGGGGAAAAUAUUGUAAGGGGAAGGAGAGAGAUGAGAGAUAUCUUCCUUUGAUUGUAGAGAUCUUGUCAGUGAAGUAAGUUGCAAAGUUUGUAGCGGUUAAGUUGGUAGGAGGAGGAGGAGCAACAGGGCAAAGAAGAGAGUUAAAAGUGUGAAAUAGUCGUUUGGGUUGGCGGGAGAGUGUUGUUAUGAGGGUUUUGAAGUAAUUUACUUUUGCAGAGGAAAGAGCCAAGCUGUAAGAGGGCAGCAUAAAUUUUUAAGUGGAGAAAGUCAGAUGUGGAGUUAGAUUUCCUCCUGCAGCGUUCAGCCAUUCUUGAGCAUUUUUUGAGGCAUCAAGUCAUCUUGGUGUGCCAAGGUUGUAGUUGGGGGCGCUUGCUGUAUUUAAGUAUAGAAGGUGCCAUGAUGUCUAGUUGAGAGGAAAGGGUGGAAUUGUAGAAGAAGUUAGCAGAGCUAGGGCAAGUGAGGUUUGAGAUAGGUAAAAGGAGAGUUUGGAAUUGAGUGGAGAAGUUCGCUAGGUGAAGACAUUGGAGUUUAUUGUGAUAUUGAUGUGCCGGGGGUGGUGUAAGUUGGAUCCUGGGUGUGCUGAUGUCAAAAGUCAGCAGACGAUGGUCAGAUAGAGGAAAAAGCAUAUUGGAGAGAUUAGAGGCGGUACAGAGGUUGGUGAAGGUGAGAUCAAGAGUGUUUCCCACUGUAUGGGUUGCUGAAUUAGACCAUUGCAUGAGGCCAAAGGUGGAGGUUACAGAGAGCAGACGAGAGACAUCAGUGCACUUUGGGUUGUUGAUUAGGAUAUUGAAAUCCCCAAGUAUAAGGGAAGGAGAGGAGAGGAAGUGAGGUAGCCAGGAAGAAAAGUGCUUAAUAAAUAGCCUAGGAUGACCGGGGGGGAUGGAGGGGCCCGUAGAUGAUAAAUGAGUGAGUUUAAGUAGGCGGAUAGUGUGAACUUCAAAGGAAGUAAAGGAUAGGGCAGGAGCAGGGGAGAUACAGUGCCUUUCAAAAGUAUUCAUCCCCCUUGACUUUUUACCUAUUUUGUUACAUUACAGUCUUAAGUUCAAUUUUUUAUUAAUCUGAAUUUUAUGUGAUGGAUCAGAACACAAUAGUCUAAGUUGGUGAAGUGAAAUGAGAAAACUAUAUACAUAUGUUACAAACUGCAAUUUGUAACUGGCCCUUUAAAUGACAAAUGGCCCUGCUUCCCUGGGUUGUGGAGAAGCCUAAUUGCCAGCCUCCUUCCACAUGACUAUGGCCUCUGGGAGAUUUUGCCCCUGAAAACUUAUGGACUUUUAUUGGGUGUGUAUGGCCCUUUAAGAACCGUCUGGGGACAUAUUGUGACUUUGGUGAACAAUGCCCCUUUAAGACUAUGUCCCCAGACCUGUAAAAUAACUUGUCCCUGGCUUUCUCCCACUUGGUUCAGUAAAUGGGGCUUACUGAGCCAAGUACCACACAGGCGGACCACCCAGAAGUGGAAGUGUGCAGGCAAUUUACCUCCCUGGCUGGGAGCCUGCUGUAGGUAAAUUGCCGACCGCUGGGUGGCCGCAGUUCAUGCAAACCAACACGUGGCGGCCGCCAUCUUUGUUCAUUCGCACGAGGUCAGCGGUAUGUGUAGCCAAAUUCAUGGAACUGAAAUCGGCUACACAUUUCAACAAACACCGCUGACCUGUACCUUCUCCUACACUGAAUUUGCAGCUGCAGAGACUAAGUCCCGUUCGGCAAUUCGAACGCCCAUUUUUUGCAUAAAAUAGACCGACCGCACAAUCUAUGGAACUGUUUUGGGCAGGAAAAUGUGCUUGCGAUCGGUCAUAGGACUUCCAUCUAACUUUUUAUCCACUGCAUGGAUUUGUCUGAUUUCUGGUUAUGUUUAUAUUUAAAGUGUGCUGAUUAAUAAUAUGUAAUUUUUAUGAAGAUAUGUAUGGUUUAUGUAAGUUUUUAAAGUUACAGAGUAUUUAUAAAAACUGUAUUUUUCCUGCUUGUGAUAAUUAUGUUAAGCAUUGUGUGCCAUAUUUAGAUCACAGGCAGAGGGGAGGAUUUUUGUGGGUAAGUGCUGGUAGUGUUUUCUGUAAUGUAUGUAUGUUAUUGGUUAUUCUGUAAAACCCUGUGGGUGGUCCUAUGUAGGGAAAACCUGCAUAAAAGAAGCCCAUUUGGGGCCAAGUAAUACAGUUCUUCUUGAUCCCUCUAAAGGUAGCCUUGUCUCGUUAUUGGAGGUAGCUGUUAUAAUCACACUGGGGAUUGCUAUGCUCUGCAUGCUCCCCUGAGCUUGAAUCACUUAGCUCUUUUAAGAGCUUGUUCCUGACACGCUCUCCUUGGAGGAGAGGUCUUCCCCACACAGUCCUGGAUGCUGGAGGUUCAUACAGGGUGGAAGAGAAGAGGUCUUUCCCACACGGUCCUGGAGAACAGAAGCUGAUCCGGGGUGGAAGAAAGACGGCGAGACUCCAGUCAAGCUACAGCGGUUGCGGAGUCUGCGGUGGUUGUGGUGUCCGGUGCGGUGCUUGUGGUCCACAGCAGAGACUGGAGUAUCUGUACAUAGGAUGACAAUAAGCCAUACGCUCCAUAGAGUUGAGCUUUAUGGCAGAGUGGCCAGAAGAAAGCGUUUACUUUCAGCAAAAAACAAAAUGGCACGUUUUGAGUUUGGGAAAAGGCAUGUGGGGGACUCCCAAAAUGUAUGGAGGAAGGUGCUCUGAUCUGAUGAAACUAAAAUUUAACUUUUUGGCCAUCAAAGAAAACGCUAUGUCUGGCGCAAACCCAACACAUCACAUUACCCAAAGAACACCAUCCCCAGUGAAACAUGGUGGUGGCAGCAUCAUGCUGUGGGUUUUUUUUCAGCAGCCAGGACUGGGAAACUGGUCAGAGUUGAGGGAAAGAUGGAUGGUGCUAAAUACAGUGAUAUUCUUGAGCAAAACCUGUACCACUCUGUGCAUGAUUUGAGGCUAGGACGGAGGUUCACCUUCCAGCAGAACAAUGACCCCAAACACACUGCUAAAGCAACACUUGAGUGGUUCAAGGGGAAAAAUGUAAAUGUGUUGGAAUGGCCUAGUCAAAGCCCAGACCUCAAUCCAAUAGAAAAUCUGUGGUCAGACUUAAAGAUUGCUGUUCUCAAGCGCAAACCAUCCAACUUGAAGGAGCUGGACCAGGUUUGCAAGGAGGAAUGGUCAAAAAUCCCAGUGGUAACAUGUGGCAAGCUCAUAGAGACUUAUCCAAAGUGACUUGGAGCUUUGAUUGCCGCAAAAGGUGGCUCUACAAAGUAUUGACUUUAGGGGGGUGAAUAGUUAUGCACAUUGACCUUUUCUGUUAUUUUGUCCUAUUUGUUGUUUGCUUCACAAUAAAAUAAAAAAUAUUAAAAGUUGUGGGCAUGUUCUGUAAAUUAAAUGAUGCAAAUCCUCAAACAAUCCAUGUUAAUUCCAGGUUGUGAGGCAACAAAACACGAAAAAUGCCAAGGGGGUGAAUACUUUUGCAAGGCACUGUAGGUUGAAAAGUACAUUGACGUGAGAGAAGAAUGCCUACACCACCUCCUUUACAGCUGUUGGGUCUGGGAAUAUGGGAGAAUUGAAGCCCAUCAAAACAUAAAGAGGCAGGAGUAGCACUAUCAGAGGGGGAAAGCCAGUCUCUGUGAGUGCUAGUAGUGUGAGUGAGUUAGAGAUGAAAAGGUUGUGUUGGUCUGGCUGUUGAUUUCAGAUUGCUACAGAUAGAUCGGGCAUUCCAGAGUGCAAGGUUGGCAAAUGAGGGUAAACGUAUUGUGAUGAGGUUUGUGUGGUUUCUGGUUGUCUUAGUGUGUGCAGAGGUGGCGAAGGGCCCUGGGUUGGGAGAGACAUCACCAGCUGCUAGAAGAAGGAGGAGAGAUAGUGACAGGAGGUGUGCGUGGCUUUUGUGUGCAUGGGGUCUAGGAUGAGAUCGAUUGUGGGUAGGAAAAAGGAAGCAGAAAAAUGAGUGCAGGGCAUGAGUUGAGAGAAGGGGGACAAUAGCAGAGAGGGGGAAAUGUAAAGGUUACAAAAGAGAAAUAUUGUGUAUACAGGCGCUUAAAGAGAAUUAUAGUGGAAAAAAUGUGCUGCUACCACCAAUGUGUAAUCCUCUCACAAUUUAACACAGAUAUAGCAGAUAUAAUGGUAGACGGAGUGGUUAGUAAACCAAAACCAAUCAACAGGUGGAGCGCUCAAAGUGAGGUAACUCACCCCCCCUCUUGGGCCGUUUAAGAUAAUCUAGAGGUGAGGAUAGAAUAGAUAAUAAUAUCGUGUAGUAUGUUACAGACAAUAGUGAGGUAAUAAAAGAUAUGGACCCACUCACAUGGUUCUGAGCCUUAGCUAGACAGGCUCAGAUCUCUUAAGCAGGCGUGUUUGGGAUCACACGGAACCUUACAGUGGACGAGGGUCACGUUGUUCCUUUAAAAGAUGAGAGACCAAAUAUAGUGCAGUAUGUAGAUAUAUAUUGAUGGAGAUGGCAAAAAGUGCAUAGAAUGGCUCUGAAUCAGGUGAAUGAAGCACUAUCAAGGGUGUGGACAUUAUAAAAAAAAAUUGCUUGUCCAGGGGACUAAAGUGGUAACCCAGUCUACUUAUCAUGCCCUCUCAUGCCAAGUAACUUGUCCUGACACAGUGUUUUUAAUUAGGAAGAUUGGGGUUCCUCUGUAUUUGUGCAUGCUUGCUGGCUGUGUGUAGUGUGUGUGUUGUAGGCUAGCAGUGUGCACAACACUACUGGAUUCCCCUGAAGAAAUUAUUUUAUAGGAUGAAACUCGUAGGGCUGGAAGGACCACAUUCUGACUCCAAUUUCUGUUUACUUUAUUUUAAGUAUAUUUUGUUUAUUAACUUUAUACUGGAUUUCUGCAAUUAUUUUGUUCAGACUCCGGAGGAUUUCCUCAUACACUAUCCUCAUACACUAUCCUGAGUCCGGAAAGCAACAUUAUAAUAUGGAAGACAAAGAGUUCCAUCUCGUGAGUGUAUUUGAAAUAAAAGGUGUUUAAUUUUUUUAAACUGGUACACUAUGUUUGUGUUUCUCCCUCUCUCCAAUAUAUUUAAUGGGAUAAGAGAAAAGAACAGAAGGCUAUGUCCUCAAAAGAUACAUUUACAUGCCUGCAAUCAAUUUACUUUUGUGAGUGCAGUAUCAUCACCAGCGUUACAUAGAAACAUAGAAACAUAGAAUGUGACGGCAGAUAAGAACCAUUCGGCCCAUCUAGUCUGCCCAAUUUUCUAAAAACUUUCAUUAGUCCCUAGCCUUAUCUUAUAGUUAGGAUAGCCUUAUGCCUAUCCCAUGCAUGCUUAAACUCCUUUACUGUGUUAACCUCUACCACUUCAGCUGGAAGGCUAUUCCAUGCAUCCACUACCCUCUCAGUAAAGUAAUACUUCCUGAUAUUAUUUUUAAACCUUUGUCCCUCUAAUUUAAGACUAUGUCCUCUUGUUGUGGUAGUUUUUCUUCUUUUAAAUAUAGUCUCCUCCUUUACUGUGUUGAUUCCCUUUAUAUAUUUAAAUGUUUCUAUCAUAUCCCCCCUGUCUCGUCUUUCCUCCAAGCUAUACAUGUUAAGAUCCUUUAACCUUUCCUGGUAAGUUUUAUCCCGCAAUCCAUGAACCAGUUUAGUAGCCCUUCUCUGAACCCUCUCUAAGGUAUCAAUAUCCUUCUGAAGAUACGGUCUCCAGUACUGUGUACAAUACUCCAAGUGAGGUCUCACCAGUGUUCUGUACAAUGGCAUGAGCACUUCCCUCUUUCUACUGCUAAUGCCUCUCCCUAUACAACCAAGCAUUCUGCUAGCAUUUCCUGCUGCUCUAUUAGAUUGUCUGCCUACCUUUAAGUCAUCAGAAAUAAUCACCCCUAAAUCCCUUUCCUCAUAUGUUGAGGUUAGGACUCUAUCAAAUAUUCUGUACUCUGCCCUUGGGUUUUUACGUCCAAGAUGCAUUAUCUUGCACUUAUCCACAUUAAAUGUCAGUUGCCACAAUUCUGACCAUUUUUCUAGUUUACCUAAAUCAUUUGUCAUUUGGCUUAUCCCUCCUGGAACAUCAACCCUGUUACAUAUCUUAGUAUCAUCAGCAAAAAGACAUACCUGACCAUCAAGACCUUCUGCAAUAUCACUAAUAAAAAUAUUAAAGAGAAUGGGUCCAAGUACAGAUCCCUGAGGUACCCCACUGGUGACAAGUCCAAGCUUCGAAUAUAUUCCAUUAACUACAACCCUCUGUUGCCUGUCACUCAGCCACUGCCUUACCCAUUCAACAAUAUUGGAAUCCAAACUUAAAGAUUGCAGUUUAUUGAUAAGCCUUCUAUGUGCAACAGUGUCAAAAGCCUUACUGAAAUCUAGGUAAGCAAUGUCUACUGCACCACCCUGAUCUAUAAUUUUAGUUACCCAAUCUAUAGAACUUAACAAUAUCACACGAUUUUAGUUUUUUCCUUUAUAGAUUGUAUAUUUUAUGUAUUUAUGAAGAAGAUAGGAGGAAUAUUCUUACAAUCUUAAUAUUUUUAACUGAAAGGGAAAUAUUACUCUUUUUUUAUACUCUUCUACAUUUUGGGGUGCAACUUUGUUAAGUAUUUUAUCUUUCUAUUUUUUUGUAAAAUGUAUGUGCCUGUUGGUUGUGUGUGGUGUGUUUGUUGUCUGUGUUAUGUGCUGGCUGUGUGUAGUAUGCAUGCUCUUAAACUGCGUGUAAUGGCUGUCUGUGUUUUGUCCUACUCAUGUUUAUCUUUCUGUAUUGAGGGGACCUCAAGUGAGUGCAAACCACAGAAAGUGCUCAUUUGUCAGAGUGCAGGCUGAGGAAACUGGGCUCUUUGACACAUUAUUGUGCGAAGGGACUGCAAUAGAUUGAUUACUGUUGUCUGCAUGCAUCGGAGGUGCAGACCACAUGCUCUUCCUCUGGACCAUCAUCUCCAAGGACUAACCCUUCCUAGGCCUUCUGCACUCUUGCAGGGUAAAAAAAAAAGUGCCUACCCAGAACUACAUGACCUGUGCAUCAAUUGAUGGAAAUUCCACAUCACAGCAUUCCUAAUUUUUAUUAUUAUUAUUAUUUUAUAUAAUUAUUCUGAUUAAAAUUUUUUUUAUUUGAACAAAAUGGUGACAGACAUACAUAAUAUACAAAUACAUCAAUUUUAGAAUUGAAUAUACUAUAUGAUCCACCUCCUAAUACAUAAUACCAUUCUAUAACGAGAUAAUGAUCUUUAAAAUCAUCACACACAAAAAGGAAAAAAAAAACAUAAAAAAUCAGACCAAGAAUAUCCUACUUAUUUAGUUUGUUAUUAAGAUAUAUCUUUUUCAAUAUUUACAGGAAAAGACCGUAUUUUUAACCUAUACAUGUUUCAAAAAAUGAAGCGUGACCUAUAUAUAUAUAUAUAAACUCACUCCAUAAAAAAAAAAUCUAUUUUUUUCUUUCCUUCCCUUCCUUUCUCUAAUAAACAUGUACAAUUUAUAGACAAGAAAUAUACAUAUAUUUUAACCAUUUAUUGUAUAGUUCUUGUUUAUUAAAUGAGUACAGAGUAGAGCUGUCAGGUCACCUGCCCCAGCACCGCUCGCAGAAACCUUGCUUACCUCAGCACAGUGAGCGCGUCAUCUGUUCCGUCUCCAGACUGGCAGUGUGUCUGACGCUGCACGCUCCAGAGCAGCUUCCUUAAAUGUGUGCUGCACCUGAUCAUGUGACCUGGCACACAGUGAUGCCCUAUGAGACCACAAGGGAGGGAAGAAACUCCUCCCACAUGUUGUGUUUAACACUAAUUGGAGAUUAGCCAAUCAGACACACUCUGUGUGUAUAUAAGCUAACACCUCCCUUGCCUCAGUCCCCUUUUGUGGUCUUUGGUUUACCAUUGAGCGUUGCACUUGUUAUUUGGAUUUCCUGGUUAAUGAUAUUUGGCUUUGUCUCUUGUUAUUCCGUCUCUCUGUUUCCCUUGAUCUCGGCUUGUGUUUUGACUAUCCCUUUUUGCAUAACCCGACCAUUCUAAAGAUCGGUAUUGCAAUUCUCUCUACUCUGUCCUGUCUGCGUGUUGGGGUUCCCUAGUGAACGUUACAAGAGUUGGAUACAUUUCUUUCCAUGGGUUAUUGAUAUGUUAGUUUGUUAGUUGAUCUGUUAAGAGUUUUUUUUUUUUUUUAAAGGAAUACUUGCUUUCCAUUGUCUAGCUAUUAUGAUUUUGGCUGCUAAUAAACAAUGCAUAGCUAAACAUCUUAAAGAAGUUGUUGCUAAAUCCCACUUGACAUGUAAUAGAGCUACUUCUGGCUUCCAUUUUAAAUCAAAGUCUGCUAUUCGUUUAUACAAACUAUACGCCCAAGUCCAUAAUGGUUUAACCAUUUUGCAGUGCCACCAAAUAUGUAAAAAGGAACCAUCUAAACCACCUCAUCUCCAACAGUUAGAUACUUGGUUGGGGUACAUCUUGGAUAUUUUAUAGGGCGUCCGGUACCAUUUCUACAUUAUCUUAUAUUGACAUUUAACUAAGUUUAAACAGUGAGUGUUUUCUUGUAUAGCUUUAAAUGAGCGACACCAUUCCUUUUCAGUUAUUUCUAUAUCUAAUUCCUUCAUCCAUUUAUUUAUAAUCAUUAAAGGUUUAUUGUUGAUGGAAAAUAUAAAUUUGUUUGAUUUUGAUGUCACCUUUUUAACAUUUUUGUGUGAGAAUACCGUUUCUAUUGGGUUAGUAAUUAUAUUUGAAUUCCUCAAUAAGGCUUUAGAUCAAAAAAAUUGUAUUCUUAAAAAAAAGUAAAAAGUUCUUUAUUAGGAAGUUGAAAUUUGGCCAUAAUUUCUGCAAAGGGCAAUAUUUACUCUCCUUGUGUAAUGUCGGCUAUUCAUAUUUCAUUUUUAAACCAGUUACUCAGAGAUAUAUCUUACAUGUUAUCUUCUAAAGCAAUUAGUUGACAAGUUUUAGGAACUUUGUGUAUUAAUUUCAAACCUUUUUCUAUCACAUCCCAGGCUUGAAUAGUCUGCGCUAACAUUAAUGAUUUAUUAUAUAUUUGGUCUGUGUCUUUUUUUACUACUGUUAAACCAUAAACAGAAUUUAAGUCUGUCCUUUCUUACUGCUUCAGAUUCCAUUAUAUACCACAUUUCAAUUUUUGAUGUAUAAGCUUGUAACUUAUACACAUGUCCAAUUAUGUUUAAUGCAAGAUUGUAUAACUUACUGUAAUAUUCAUUGAAUUUUUUUACCAAUUUUCUCUGGAGAAGAAUAUAUAUUAUAGUCAACUAUCAAUUUAUUUAUCCUGUUAUUCGCCGUUUGCUUCUUAAGUUUUUUUGUUCAACAAUUACUUGCUCUAUUGCCUUGGUAAUACAUAUAUGAUCUUAACCAAGUUUUUUUUUUUACUUUUCUUCUAUUUUUAAAUUAAGUUUGUUCUGAAGUUCAGAUAGCUUAUCAUGUUUUGUUUAGAAGGCUGAAUUUUAUUUAAAUUUGAAAGCUGAAAAAAUUAUAUAUAUAUAUAUAUAUAUAUAUAUAUAUAGAUUGGCAAGUUCUUUACCCCUUAAUUUUUUCAAAUGUUUUUCAUUUUGAUAAAAUAUCAUCUCAGUACAACUUUGUAUGUGGCCCAUAAUGUGGAGUCUAAAAUAACCUGGAAGGCAUUUUCAUUCCAAAAAAAGCUAGAUAAUUCUGUCAAUUUUUUUUUAUAUUCUUUUGAUUUUAAUAUAGAAACAUCUAUCUUCCAAGUAUUUAAUCCCUGGGCCAUAGAUUUACCUAGUUCUAAUAUUACAAAACUAUGAUCAGACCAUGUAUUUCCUGUAAGUUGUAUUUUAUUAAUAUUUUCAAUUGUACUGGCUUUAACUAGACAUAUAUUGAUUCUAGAAUAAGAAUCGUGAAUGUUAGACAGGUGUGUAGUCUUGAUCUUCUGGAUAUAUAGUCCUCCAAGCAUCAUAUAAGCCAUAUAUGUUGCAUAGAUAUAAAGUGCAAAUUUCUGAUAUUCACAAAAGGAAUAUUACAGAAAGAUAAGAGGGAAUAAGACACAAACAGAUACAGUCAAUAAAUAGAUUAGCUCUAAAACUGGAAAGAAAAGGAAUUCACCAAAUCCUAUACAACAUACAGAUAAAAAAUAGUACACUAUACAAUAUAGUGUGGAUAGCCAGGAGCUAAAAAUUAAGUAAAAUAGGUAUAGACUUCAAAUAAUAAAAAUAAAAGUAAAAUGAAAAUUAAAUGAUAAAUGGUAAAUAAGUAUAGUAUUCAAAAUAGUCAAUGAAAUGUCUUUGAUAAAAAGUCCAAAGAAUGUGGAUUAUACAAAAAGUCCCAAGAAGUCUAUAAAUCCUGGAAUUAUACCAUAAAUAACUUUAGCCCUGCUUGUGAAAACAACACAGGGCUAUUAGUAUCUAUGCCUUAUAAUAUACUUUUAUAUAUAUAAAAGAUAUUUAGAGUCCAUGACUGGGCAUAUUAGUACAGGGAACCAGUAGCCCAAAAUAAAAUCUCUGUUAAUGCCCAAGUGCAAAAAUGAAGAAUGAAGAGUGACUUGACUUUUAAAACAGAUCAAAUUUAUUAGUAAAAAAUUAAAAAUAAGAAUAUAGUUCCAAAUUUAAAAAUGGCGAUCAAAAUCAGAGGUUAGCAUAUAGUCCAAUCUAUAGAGAAUGAAAAAGUAAGUAAAACCUGUAGUUCUGACCCUGAUGGAUUAGGAUUGUGGUAGUUGAUGUUCCUUCUGGAUCCUGGCAGCCGGUGAGGACGGCGUGCGUGUCAGCUUGCGUUUCACCUCCGACCUCACAUCGAGAGGUGAACUCCAAUCUCGCUGAAGGAUGUUGAAGUUGGGUCUGGAAUCCUAGCGUGUCAGGGAUAAUUACUGUUCAAACUCUUUUCGGCAAAUGUUUCCUCUUAGUUAGAUUGUGUGAUUUGCCUUAUGCAUUUCGUAGGGUACAGCCCUACUUCAUCACAGGAUUCUGAUCUGCAUAGUGUAUGGCAGUUUAUAUAUGCUUUACUCAAGUCACUAAUUACUUUUAUGGAAUAUUCAUUUAGAGAAGUAUUACAUAUACUACAUAUAUAUAUAUCUAUAUAUAUAUAUAUAUAUAUGUUGCAUAAACUAUUGAAUUUCUUGGAUUGUUUUAAGAUUACUUUGUCUAAUACAAUUUUUGUUGAUCUAAAGCCUUAUUGUGGAAUUCAAAUAUAAUUACUAAACCAAUAGAAACGGUAUUCUCACACAAAAAUGUUAAAAAGGUGACGUCAAAAUCAAACAAAUUUAUAUUUUCCAUCAACAAUAAACCUUUAAUGAUUUUAAAUAAAUGGAUGAAGGAAUUAGAUAUAGAAAUAACUGAAAAGGAAUGGUGUCGCUCAUUUAAAGCUAUACAAGAAAACACACUGUUUAAACUUAGUUAAAUGUCAAUAUAAGAUAAUGUAGAAAUGGUACCGGACGCCCUAUAAAAUAUCCAAGAUGUACCCCAACCAAGUAUCUAACUGUUGGAGAUGUGGUGGUUUAGAUGGUUCCUUUUUACAUAUUUGGUGGCACUGCAAAAUGGUUAAACCAUUAUGGACUUGGGCGUAUAGUUUGUAUAAACGAAUAGCAGACUUUGAUUUAAAAUGGAAGCCAGAAGUAGCUCUAUUACAAGUCAAGUGGGAUUUAGCAACAACUUCUUUAAGAUGUUUAGCUAUGCAUUGUUUAUUAGCAGCCUAAAUCAUAAUAGCUAGACAAUGGAAAGCAAUUAUUCCUUUAAAAAAAAAAAAAAAACUCUUAACAGAUCAACUAACAUAUCAAUAACCCAUGGAAAGAAAUGUAUCCAACUCUUGUAACGUUCACUAGGGAACCCCAACACGCAGACAGAACAGAGUAGAGAGAAUUGCAAUACCGAUCCUUAGAAUGGUCGGGUUAUGCAAAAAGGGAUAGUCAAAACACAAGCCGAGAUCAAGGGAAACAGAGAGACGGAAUAACAAGAGACGGAUAAUAUGAUAACUAGACCGCUCUUAAAGUUUUGGCUACAUAUUAAAAAUCUUUUGGACUUGAAAAACAAAGUCUUACCUGCAUUGACCUUUAAAAAUCUAGAUACAUGGAUGGAAAACAUGGAUACGUCCGAAUGGACUAGACUUGGUGUUAAAAAAUUAGCAGACUUAUUAGUAGAUGGUAAGAUUAUGCCCUUCGACGAGAUACGCAGAAUAUAUGAUAUUUCAUAUUCACAAGCGUUUAAUUAUAUUAGAAUUAAAAGUUUUCUGCAAAGCUCCCUUGGAAGCAACACGAGCUCUUUCUCAUUAUCUAAAUUAAAUGUCUUGAUAGACUCAGAGAAAAAUACUAAAAUACUAACUAGAUGUGUUGAGAUUAUAAAAGCUAUAAAAAGACCUGUUUAUCCUAUAGCUAAAGGUAAAUGGGAAAGAGAUUUGACAAUAAAAUUUGAUAUAAAGGAAUGGUAUAAGGCUUUACAAUCAGUUUAUUCCACGAUACAUUGUUUAAAUAUUAGGGAAGCACAUUUUAAAAUACUUAAUAGAUGGUACAUGACUCCCAAUAAGAUCCAGAAAUUUGCAAAGGCAGGGACAUCUAGAUGCUGGAGAUGCGGAAAUGAGGGAGCAAAUAAAUUGCAUAUAUGGUGGGAUUGUGCACCAAUUAAGGAAGCAUGGGUUCAAUUUUUGGACCAAGUAAAUAAAUUGCUGGAUAUAACCCACUCCUGGACUCCAGAUAAUUUGCUUUUACAUUUAAACCUACCGCAACUUACUAAAGAUAAAAGAGAUCUGCUGAUUCAGGCUUUGAUGGCCUUUAAAAUGGCUAUUGCAAAAAAUUGGAAGGGGACAACAAUUGAUUCAUGGCCACAAAUUAAGGCAUCUAUUAUUAUUCAAUGCAAAAUGGAAAGGGGAAUAGCCUCUAAUUUAAGUAUUAAUAUAAGACAAUUUGAGAUCUGGGAUGAUUGGAUAAAGGUCCUUGAGAAUUAAAUAUUGGAAUGUAUAUAUUGUGCAGUAAUCUAUCGGUAAUCUAUGAAGGAGCGGAAAUUUAAUCUAACUCUAUGUAAUCUAAGGGUAGAGCUGAAUAAAUAGGACAGGAUGGUCAACUUUGUUAUAUGUCUGUUAGUCUAUAUGUAUUUCUGUAUUUAUUGUAUUUAUUUUAUAUGCAUUGUAUGAUAUGUAUGCAAUGUAUAACAUGAUAUGUAUAUAUAUAUGUAUGCUUGAUGUAAAAAGAAAAUAAUAAUUAAAUAAAUUAUAUUAAAAAAAAUAUAUAUAUCCAAGAUGUACCCCAACCAAGUAUCUAACUGUUGGAGAUGUGGUGGUUUAGAUGGUUCCUUUUUACAUAUUUGGUGGCACUUAAGCUGAGAGUGCGAUUUUUUUUUUUUAUCUAUUGUUAUAUCAAAAACACAGUUGUUGAAGUCACCUGUAAUAAUUAAUAUGCCUUUUGAUAUGUUCUCCAUUUUCUUCAUAAUUUUUGAAAAUGUUGACAUUGGAUAAACAUUAGGUAAGUAGACAUUUACAAGAGUAUAAAUUGUUCCUUAUCUUACAAACCAUUAUUAAAAAUCUUUCUGACGGGUCAGAAUCCUGAAACAAAACCCCUCGUUUUUUAUUAUUUUCUAGGGAUGCCUGAUAGAUCGGUUUGAACUUAUUUCCCCCCCAUCUCUGGGGUUCUGACCGUUUCCAGUGUGUCUCUUGAAUGAAACCUAUUUUCAUUUUUUCUAUGAUAAAGGAGUCAUAUAACAUUUGUCUUUUCCUCUGAGUAUUUAAGCCUUGUACAUUAAUUGACAUUAUUUUAAGCAUCAAUAUAUCGAGUUAUCUUUUUCCUUUCCUUUAUUAUUCCUUUUUAUUUUUUUAUUUUUAAAUUACCACUUAUUAAUCUUGGACUGAUCAUAACAUAAUACACACACAAAAACCACAAAAAAUAACGAUUCACACUCGCCGUCAAUCAGAGGGUAUUGUCGGAUCGGUUUAUCUCUAUAUAUUGGUAUUUGGUUUCCUACUAUUGUUAAGUUAUUUUUAUAUAUUACAACAAAAACCUUGUCAUCAGAUUAUGAGCUGUUCAUUCUGCAUUUCUGGGUCUCCACUGCGUAAGAUACAGCUUCACUGGAUUUAGUACAUUAUUCACUGUACUGGCAUGACAUCUGCUGUGACUAUUUCAUCAAUACUUUGUACGAUGUGUUUUGAUCUCUGUAUGAUGGCAAUUUUAAAUAAAUAAUUUUUAAAUAAAAAAAAAAAAAAAACACAAAAAACAAAGGUGGCGGUACAUUAACUCCACCCACAUUAAACAUUAAUACAUUUUCAUAAAACAAAGUCCAUGAUUUCCUAAAUGUCGUGUAGGGCAAUUUAGGAAUCUAUGUGGAAUUUCCACAUAAAGAGGGGUAGGUGUCAGGGAGUGGAAUUGCAAUUAUAUUAUGAUAUUCCUUAGACAAUAUUUAUUGACCAACGAUUAAAAACUUUAUGGAAGUAGGGGCGAUAAUGUAAGAAGGCCAAAAAAAAUGAAUGCAGUAAAAAAAUAAUGCAUUAUCUUUUAUGUUUCCAUAGUUCCAUAAGGAAAUUAAUUACCCAUACUGUUGGAGAGAAAAAAAUAAAAUAAAUAAAUAUAUAUAUUUUUUUUUACCUAAAGUGAAUAUUAACUAUCCUUUUUAUCCCUUCUUUAUUAAUUUCCCUUCUCUUCACUUAUUUUCUUUAUCUCUACCUCUACCAAAUAUUCUCUAAUAAUUUUUUCACACUUGUGUUAUUCAUGACGUUAAAUGAUGUUAACUAUCCAUGUGAUAGUGAAACACAUAUUUUCCCGAAAGAAGUGGUGAUGUAUUAACCCUAGUUUUUCAUUAUUGCAUUACUUAUACCGUUCUAUUUUUCAUAUUUGAAACACCCAGAAAAAACCCCAACACAAUUUCUAUUUGAAUGAUCUAUUUAUGUUUCCAUAUUUCCAUAAGGAAUUAAUUACUCAAGACCUAGUGAAAACAUUUAUACAAAUUAGUGAUUAUUAUUAAGCUAUCUAAUUUAUACCUUCUAUUAAUUAAUUACCCUUUUCUUUAGCCAUUUUAUUUAUCUUGUGUUAUAUUAUCGUGAAAAUUUAUGUCUUAAAGACCUCAAAUAAAUAUUCUCUUAUAAUUUAUGACACACUUGUGUUAUUCAUGACUUUAAAAUAUAAACUAUAAGUGUAGUAGUGAGGCACUUAUCUUUAAAAGAAGUGUUUGCAUAUCAAGCCUAAAUUUUAAAUUUUGCAUUAUCUACACCAACAUGUUUUUCAUAUUUGUAACAUACAGCAAAAAAAAAGGAAAAAAAAAAACAAAAGAAAAAAAAACCUUUGGCCCAACAGUUAACCAUCUGCCUAUCGCCUCAUCCCCCAUAUUUAAUUAAUUGGAGUUCUUCAUUCUAACUUCUUAUUGAUAAGCCAUUCCUUUACUUUUUCUGGGAGUUCAAAUGUCUCCAUUUUGCCAUCAAUUAUAAUUAUCAGAUUGGUAGGGAAACCCCAUCUAAAUCUUAUAUUGUGUUUUUUAACGAUAGCGGUUUCUGGUACAAACGAUCUUCUUUUGAUAAGUCAGGAAGUGCCAUAAUAUUUAAAUAUGGACCGUCUUUUAUGUUUUUUUUCUCUGUUAGCUUUCAAAACUUUCUCCUUAAAUUCAUACAAAUGGAAACAUACGAUAAUAUCUCUAGGUACUUUGGUAACCAUAUUAAGAGGUUUAUUUAACCUAUGGCAUCUAUCAAUUUUCUCUUCAUAACCAUUGAGUGUGAGACCCAGGUCUUUGAAAUAAUCCUUCAGUAAUUGCAUUAAAUCUUCUUGUUUGGCUGUUUCUUUAAAAUUUCGAAAUCUUAAAUUUUUCCUUCGAGAGAGGUCUUCAAGAUCUUUUAUUUUAUUUUCAAGGUAAGAUAUUUUUGUUGUCAUUCUUAUAGAUUCAUCUUUUAAUGUUCUUAUUUGAAAAUCCAUAUUUCGAACGAGAUCUUCCAUUGUUGGAUCUUAUUUGUCAGUUUCGUUUUUUAUUUUCUUGCUUGAUUUCCACUGGAUUUGAGAACAUUUCUUUCUUGAUUUCUUCCAGAAUAUUCUGUAGACUUGCAUUAAGGACUUUAACCGUAACUUCUUCAUUUUCUUUUCUCGUUUCCAUUAAUGACAAAUCUAAGUUAGACAAUGGUUCUCUGGUGGCUCUAUCUGUUAACUCUUUAGUGUGGGGUGAGAAGUAAGCGGAGAGACUUUUAUCCUGUUUAGAUUGUUUAGAUUUUUUUUUCUCUUUUAGAGGUUAAUUUUGGUUCUUGUGUUGUUGUUUUUUGUGGCCCUUUUAUAUUUCUUUUUUCUUCUCUUUCUUCUCCCUUAUUCCUUUGUUUUUUCUUUCCUUUCUCCUUGUCCUUUUUUCUUAAGUUUUCUCACAGUUUUUCCCUUUCCUCUUCUUUUUUUUCUCACUCUUCCCUUACUCUAUCUUUUUACUUCCCCUUUAGUUAUUCUUCGUUUACUUUCCUUGCUCCCAUCUAACCUUCUUGAAACGUUUUUCUUUUUUUUUUUAUUCCCUUUCCUUCACAGCAAGGAACACAGUAUCAUUAAAGUAAAGCGAUUGUAAUGUUAAAAUACUGCAAGAAAAUAAUAUUUGUUUUGCUUAUCUUUUAGUUGUUUUUUGAUUUGUAUCAAAAUUAGCCUUUUCAUUUUCUUAAAUCUGCAGGUCCAGCCGCACGCUGCCUCCCUCAGCAUUUACCCCGUCUCCCAAACCUCUCAGUCAUGUUGAGUCUUGAAGCUUCAGGUACAGCCGAACACCGACGCCCUCAGUAUUUACUCCGUUUCCGACACCUCACGGUCCUGCUGGACAACACCAACCUUCGUUCAUCAAUGUCUCUCCCGGUCUCACUCCACAAUAUACCACCACGAUAAUUGCUUACAUUCAGUGCUUCGUAUGGCGUCUAGCAUGGAACUCGAUAAGCCCCAGCAUUCUUAAUUAAAAUAUUUAUACACCAUUCCUAUAACUAGACAGAUAAUAUUCUCAAAAUAACAGAAAGCAAAAGAUUCAUGGAAAUGUGACCCCCACUUAUGAAAAUCAGUGAAAGGGAUGUGUGACAUAAUCUAAAGCAAACAAAUUAAACAUAUUGACUUCUAGAGUCUCCAAAAUACAUAUAUUGAUAAGUAUACACGCUGCAUAACACUCACAGAGCUUUUGUUUUUAUCCCCUGUGUAACACUAUCUGAAUUAUUCAAUAAAGUGAG
rnacentral:lncRNA from 1 species